CGCAAAGCUUUCAAACCCAGAGAAGAAGAGAUCAAGAAGGGCAGCCCUGUGGUGGUUCUGGUGCACCCAUACUCCUUCCUUGGCGGCUGCCAAGGCCUGUUGAGAGGAAUAGCAGCUGGGUUGGCAGACAGAGGCUACAAAGCUUUGACCUUUGACAUGAGAGGGGUUGGGAGGUCAACAGGGAGGGCCUCUCUCACUGGGUUUGCAGAAAUUAAGGAUGUGAUUGCUGUGUGCAAAUGGGUUUCUGAGAAUCUAUCAGCUGACAUGAUUUUGUUGGUGGGUUCUUCUGCAGGUAUAAUAUUUUUGAAUUUUUAUGCUCUUUUAGAAUAUAUUUCUGCAAUUUUUAUUGGAUUAAGCAUGUUGGUUAUAAAUUAGAGGGGGUAUUUUUAUGUGGGUAGUUGAUCGAUUUAUUGUUUAAUCUGUUUAAGUGGAUGAUUUUUUGGAUCUGUGGAUUGUGUAUUAGUUUGUGGUGGUUAAAAGAUUGCUUAUUUGAUUGGUUUGGUGAAUGGUUUUGUUGAUCUGUAAUUUGGAUAUUAGUUUGUAGAAGUGAUCUGAGUGUUAUGUAGAUAACAACUAAUUACUUUCUGAAGCGUGGUCGAAAAAUUAAAGAAGGCUUUGGAUUUGAGGGAGAAUUGAUUAUAUGAGGCUAGGAUUUCAUUUGGUUAUGUUGUUUGGUGUAUUUCUGACUUUUGUGUUGCUGAUCGAACUAUCCUUCGAUCAUUCAAAAGUUGGGAUUUCGAUCACCUUCAAAGCGAAUAUAAGUGUGAUGAAAAAUGUUUUGUGCAAUGAAAAAUGUUAUGUGCAACUAUGAUCGGUUUCUCAAGCUUGACCGGAGAUUGUAAGUUUUGUACAAAAUGAUAAAUGGUGAGAAGCCCAAGUUUUUAGUAGUUGUGAAGGACGUGAGCUGUGAUUUGAUAAAUCUAGUAACGUUAUAUUUUCGAACAGCCUCUCGCUGCUGCUCCUUAACUUGUUCUGAAUUGCAAUUUUUGGUUAUUGAUGUCUUGUUUAUGCUCUCCAGUAAUUGCAAUAUGAACAUCGACGCGAGGACAUAAGUAAAAUUACAAGGUCAAUCAGUGUUAGUGAGAAAUAGAUGGUUUUUCUGCAAAUAAUCUUGUGGUAAACUAGGAAGCAUGAUCUAGGAUCUUUCUGGUAUGAACCGCAUAGCAUUGUUGCAGGCAUGGUCGGUAAAAUAUAAGACGUUAUUCGUAGUCCCGUCCGUUUUGUUACUUUUAUGAUCAUUCGAGGCGGGGGUUUAACAUAAUUUCCUCAUAUGUUUAUAAUUUUCCUAUGUUAUGGUGUAGGUGCCCCGAUUGCAGGCUCUGCGGUAAAUCAGAUUGAACAAGUUGUGGGCUAUGUUAGUCUAGGGUAUCCUUUCGGCAUGCUUGCCUCAAUCCUUUUCGGGAGACACCACAAAGCCGUACUACAAUCCUCAAAACCCAAACUUUUCGUAAUGGGGACACAGGACGGGUUCACGAGCGUGAAGCAGUUAAAGAACAAGCUAAAGCUCUGCAGCCGGUCUGUUGAAACGCACCUGAUUGAAGGAGCAAGCCACUUCCAAAUGGAAGGCCCUGCUUAUGAUGCACAGAUGGUGAAUCUUAUCCUUGAAUUCAUUGCAUCACUGUAGAUAAUCAACCAUGUGUAAUGGAGUUGUUCUAUUUCAGAACUGAUCGGAGCUUUCCGCACCGAUCAGAUUCUCUCCGUUCGCAAUGUGCUGCAGUUGUAUGUAUAUGCUAACUUGUAAUCGUGUGUAAUUUGCAGGAGCUUGGUUGGUUUACUAUGUGCUUUCGGUGUCAAAUUAAGCUGCUGUCUCAACAAAUACGAGAGAAAGAGAGUCGUUAGAUCAAUCUUUACGGUCAAGUGUCAUCCGGUACAACCCCGAAAACAUAAUUUUGAGGUUAAACUAAAACCGAAAUGAAGCCUAACGCUUACACCAAUCGUUCACUUGAUUCGACGUCAAAUCCGAAUAUGGCACAAAUACAAGAAGCAGGAAUAUAACUGGAUAUUCCAAAACGUUGAUCUUCGGAUGCAAAUCUGCCGUCUCUGGUCAUUUUGUUGCCAUUUGAACCCUCAACUGCCCGACCUUCACCCAUUUCGUCAUAGUGCCGUUUUCUCCAUCCUGGUUCGUGGUCUAGUGAUUGUCUCCAGCAAAAUGCGGAAAAGAGUACAUUGUAAUUAUGAUCCUUUAAUUUGUCACAUCAUGGCCCGGGAUCUACCACAUCUCGGGCCCGCUCCAUCACCGUAGCACGGUAUUGUUCACUUUGGGUUCCGACUAUGUCCUCACGGUUUUGUUUUUGAAAACUCACAUGAGGACUUCUUAGUGGGUCAUCCAUCAUGGAAGUGCUCUCUCCCAAAAGGCCUCAUGCUAAGUAGGGAUGAGAAUAUACAUAUAAGGAUCACUCUUCUGGACGAUGUGGGAUCUUACAAUCCACUCUCUUAGGGGCUUGACAUCCUUGUCGGCACACCACUGUCAGGGUUAGGCUCUGAUACUCAUCUGUCACAUCUCGACCCGGGAUCCAUCACAUCCCGGGCUCGCUCCAUCACCGUAACACAAUAUUGUCCACUUUAGGUCUUGACUACGCCCUUACGAUUUUGUUUUUGAAAACUCACGAGCAACUUCCUAGUGGAUUACUCAUCCUAGGAGUGGUCUGGCAUCCUUCUCGUUUAACUUUGGAGUUCCAAUGGAAUCCGAAGCCAGUGAGCUCCCAAAAGAUCUCAUGGUAGGUAGGAAUGAGAAUAUACAUAUAAGGAUCACUCCCCUAGGAGAUGUGGGAUCUUACAUAAUUUGAACUCAAUUGGAGCAAUAGUCUCUCAACUAAGAAUCCAUUAUCAUUGGUCAUUCAACUCAUCAAAACAUGCAGCUAUGUUCCUUUAACUAAAAAUUCAAUUGUAAUUAUAUAUACUAAAUCGCAAUGGAAAAAACACUGUUCCUAAGCAAUUGGUCCUUUCCUUCCUAUUUUUCAUGCUGCUACGGUAAAAAGACGAAAAGGCCUGUUGCACACGUGGUGUGCUAGCGAGAUUUCUCUCCUCCACCGCUUCCUUCCUCUGCAGUCUGCACCGCUUGCUUUUUACUCCAAUUCGAAACGAAACAAAAGCAAAGCUCAUCUAAAUGUUCACACCAUCAAGACAAGAAAUUUCGCCGGCAGAUUUCUCCAGAUGCUUCCAAACCCAAAUCCAUCUGCUCAUCCAGAUCAAUUUCACCACCAAACUCCUCCACAUCGUUUCAAUCUUCAGCAAACCCAAAACUCAUCACUCACUUUGUCAGUUAUGCUAUCACUCUGUUAACAUGUUUUGUGGCCAUCAGACGCCGGAAAACCCCUUGACCGGAACUCGGUUUGCCCAUCCAGAAAGAAAGACUAGAAAGCUGCUUGAGGCAAAGCAGAAGCUACGGGAGGAAGGAGAGUGGACUUUUUUUUUAACACCCUAAGACUAAACGACGACGUCUUGCUCCCUUGCUCCGCUGUUGUUUCCUUAUGUCAUCUCUUCCACAGUAAUAGUAUUUUCAUGGUCAUCCUAUCCUGAAAUUUUAUGAUCUAACUCGACAUUUUAGGUAUGAAAUUGAGAAGAUUAUCAAGUAUAGUAGUAUGUUCUAAUGUUUAAGGAUAUAUGUUCUACAAAAUAUGUUGGCAAGUUUUUCAUGUUGCCUACCCAAGAUAAAAUUUAUGGAACCGUCAUGUAUAUAUUUGCUAUUAGUGUUCAGAUUUUCAUUUCAUUUUUCCUUUUUUAUUAAUUUGUGGACCAAUUUUAGUUGCUAAUCAUUGUUGUAAACCCAAACCGAAAAAUCGAACGUGCCCAAGAUCGAAACGAAAGCUCCAAAGAUCGAGCCCCAUGGCUUUGAGAAACCCACCAAGUCUUCCAUUGUUGUGUGUGGAAAACUUGGUUCUGUCAAUGCACUAUCCGAAGGCGGUGCGAAGAAUCGGAAGGGAGAUAAGAUCGAAGAGAAAGCGAAGGCGCCGAAUGUGAAGAAGGCGGAUGGUGCUGCAUUUGUGAAGGUUGAGGACAAGGGGAUUAGGAAACGGAGGACGCAAGAAAGAGGCGGGCGGAGAGGCACGAGCACGAGGGGCAGGAAUGCAGCAAAGCCGACGAAGCCGCAUGAGUAUGGUGUCAAUGAACUCAGUUCACAUGACGGUUUAGACGCGUUGAAAGUGGGGAAGGAGAAGAAAGAAAACGGGAGGAAGAAGAAAGGCGCGGCAAGGUUCUUGAUGUUGUGCCUUGGCCCGUUUAUCAGUGCGGAAACGAGAUUCAGAUUACAACCUCAUCAAAUCACACUUAGUUGAACAGAAUAAAAUACAAGAAAUAAAGACACCGAGAAAUUUACGAGGUUCGGCAAAAACCUGCCUACGUCCCCGGAGAGAUAUUGCUCUUCACUAUGAGAAUAACAGUACAAGUGCACAUGAGUUAAAUCGACAUAACCCAAUCCCAAAUCCCUUGUACACCCACUCAUAGAAUUUUCCCAAGAGCCUCAUUCUACCCCAAGAGUUCUUUCACUAGAAUACUUUUCACUCUAGCUCUCUUGAUUUUCUCUCACCCAUGCCCAUGCUUUUCCAUGGGAGAGCCGAAUGCUCUCUCCCUUUGGAUGCUCUCUGAUGUCUUCUUAGGAGAGAGCCAAAUCUUUCCCUCUCUCCCUUCGGUUCUUAGCAAAAUAAAUAGCAAAAGAAAAAGAAUCAACUUUCCCUUUUUCCACAAACAUCAUCAUUAAAGUAAAAGCAAGCAUCAUCAUUAUGUUUUUACUCAUAAUGAUAUCCACCAAACUUUUGCUUUUACUUUGUCUGCAAUUUUCAUGCAACCCACACCAUGUGAUAUUUCCACCGAAAGCAAACACAUGUCAUUUCAUUGUUGUUAACACAUGACUCAUAAUUACUCACAAAUGUAUGAGCCAAAACACAACACUUGAAGCGAAUGAAGCAGACCUCGAAGUGAAGAAGGAGAAUUCGGAAGGUACCGAGGAUGAUACCGAGGAGAGCGAGGACGAGAAGAUGAAGAAGCCGAUGAGGGGUAGGAGGAGGCGGGAGGGUGAGAGGAAGGAGAGGGUGAUGCGGAGCUCAACGGAAAGCGGAGGAGGGAGGGAAGGAGUCAGGAGAGCAUUGGGAGGGGAAGAAGAGGGGUUGGGAGGCCACCGAAGUUACCGGAAACUUCAGCGGCUGGGGCGGGGAGCAGGAAGAGAGGGAGAGACAACGGGGAGGCGGAUCAGGUGGGGAGUGCAGGGAGGCCGAGAAAGCGUACAAGGAGGUGAAUGUCAGAAUGUGGCCAUUGUUGUAAGCUGUAAAUUAUUUUUUGUGCGGUGGUUUGGGUUAAUUUCUGGUCUUGUUUUAUUUCUGGUCUUGUUUUGUUGUUCAUGGAUCUAGUCGGAAGUGGACGCUUUUCUGCUCGACAAGGCAAGAGAAAACGUUACCCUAAGGGGCCAGACAAAAAUUAUUACUCGUAUGAAAACUAAGGAGAUUAGUCAAAUCAUAUAAUAUUAACAAUUUCCUUGCUCGAUGGUCUGAUAAGUUAUGGACUCUUUUUUUUUGGGUUAAACGUGUGACUUAUACUACAUUUAAUAUAGUGUACAUUCGUCUGACAUAUUAUCGUUAUCAAACUUCAAAUGAGAAUUAUUCAAAUAUUUUUUUAGAUGAUGAUUGAUAGUUUGGCAAAAAAAAAAAAAAUUGUUACAUUAAAAAGAUUUUAAAAAUUCUGUUCUACAACUUUAUUUUUGGUCUAAUAGUGUACAUCUGAAAUUCUGUGUUUGAUUUUCUCACUCCGGUCGUAUCAAAAGAACGACAUCCCUAACCGGAAAUAAAAGAUAAAAUAAAAGAGCUGCUCAGCUGAUACUAUGUAUUUCUUCUUUGAUUGGAUCACUGAAGACGGAGGUAGAGCAGUCCUGUUUGUGAUCGACCAUGAAAGAGUUACUGAGGCUUCCAUCUUCUGUGCAAUUUUUCCUGUCACUCUCAGUGUGCCAAUGACUGCUGCUUUCAACUUCUCCCCUUUGGUUUGAGACUUGGACUUGGUCUUGGGGUUGCUUGUUAAUCUUCAUCCUAUGUUUAAUUAAUCAAGUGGAACAAGGGUGAAAAAAGUAAUUAAGCAUCAUAAAAAAGAAGAUAGAUUGAGAAAAAAAUUAGGCAUAACUGGGGAUAUUUUCCCUUUUUUUUUUAUUAGUCAUACCUGAUUAAUGAGAUACAAAGACGAUAAUAUAUCUCCAGUUACAUGUCAAAAUCUUGUCAAGGAAAAUUUGGGUGUGACUAGAGAUAUAUUCAGUAUCUAUCUCACUCAUGAUAUUUAUGAGUCAAGAAGUUACACACAUAGAUGUGAAUAUAUCCCUAGUUAUAUAUAAGAAUCUCGAUAGUUCUACAUCACCAAAUCAAGAAAAAUUUGGAAGUAAUCAGGGAAUAUUUCGGUCUUUGUCUCACUCAUCAAAUGAAUGAUGACGCACAAUGCGAAAAUAAAUUCCCGAUUACUUGUCAAAAUCUCACAUGACUUACAUCAGCAAAACAAGGAAAAUGAAUCAAACUUGAUAAAUAAAUUAAAAAAAAGUGUAUAACACUCUUACCUUCUUCUAAAUUUUCUCUGCAUCAGAUAGAGCUUGAAUUGAACAUUGUCUAGGAGCUGGAAAUAUGCGUAUCUCCAUGUCCUCUUGAGAAGCAACGGGCAGCAGAAUCCCAAGAACCCUACAACGAAACCGAGCACAACGGAUAACCCAAUCCAUAGACUUUGAUCCUCAUCGUCGUCCAAAUCCUGGCUGUUCUUAUUCUCUCCAUCAUUCCCAUUACUUGACAAGCACUCAUUAGGAAGUGGGGGGCCGCAAAGUUUUGGGUUCCCUUCGAAUGCAGAGGCGUUGAAGCUUUGAAGCUGUGUGCCGGUCGGUAUUGAUCCUUCAAGACUAUUGUACGAGACAUUGAAAGAUUUCAAGAAACUAAGGCUUGCCAAUGACAAUGGGAUUUUUCCGGAAAAAUGGUUCACGGAAAGGUCUAAUUCCUCCAAGUUCUUGAGGUUGGAUAUUUGCUCUGGGAUUUCGCCCAAAAAGUUGUUCAUGUUAAGAUCCAGCUUUUGUAUCAGCUGCAGCUGGCCUAUCUCAAUGGGAAUUCUCCCACUAAUGCUGUUGUUCUUCACGUCGAUCACGCGAGGAAAGUAAGACAACUUGUACUGCAGAAAUGUUGUGUUGGUCGAGGUGUAGAUAGGCAAUUCGAGAACAUCAUCGUUUGCUUGAGGAGAAGUUUCUUCGGAUGACAACAUGGGAAGUGUACAGAGUUCCUUUGGAAAUUCACCCGAAAUUCGAUUGGCUCCCAAUGCUAAAACAAAGAGCCUUGGAAGAGCUCCCAACCAACUAGGAAUCGACCCAGUGAUUCUGUUAAAACUCAGAAUCAAGACCCCUAGCUUCUUGAGCUUCGAUAACCAUUGAGGUAUUUCGCCAUUCAGCUGACAGUUACUCAAAUCUAGCAUUUGAAGAUUUUGGAACCCGCCGAAAUUAGCCAUUGCUUCAUCACUGGGAAUUUUCUCUCCAUAAAAAGUUGUCGAAAGGAUGAGUACCUUGAGACUUUUGCAGCGCAUUAGUAUCUUCAUUGCCCCCGUGAUGUUUGUCAAUCGGCUGUAGCUGAGGGAGAGGAAGGACAAGGAUUCCAGUGAAAGAAUCUCGGGUUGUAUAUGUCCCUCUAGAUUGUUUUUGCUCACUCGAAUUGCUUUCAGGGACUUGCAUGAGUAAAGACUUGUUGGCAUGAAACCGGUGAAGUUGUUAUGGCCAAGAUCAAGUAUCGUUAGUCUAGUAAGAUUGGAGAAAUUGAAGGUGGAGAUGUUUCCUUCAAAAAGGUUGAUUCCGAGAUUCAGUUUGAUAAGGUUUGUGCAGUUCAUCAAAGAUGGGGGCAGAGAGCCGUUUAGAUUGUUAAAUUGAAGGAACAUGUGUUGUAAUUUGGACAGCUUACCAAUGUUUACAGGGAGAAAACCGCUCAAUCCGUUGGACUGGAGGUCAAGGAAUGCAAGGUUGGUGAGGUUGACAAUUCUUUGGCUUAUGGCACCGUGUAGUGAAUUGCGAGGCAACGCAAUUUCUUGAAGUGUGGUAGCAUUGUAGAUGUCAUCCGGAAGAAGUCCCGAAAGGUUGUUGUAACCAGCACGAAACACCUGUAGUUUGGAACACGCACCUAGUCCGUGAGAAAUAUUGCCACUGAAUUCAUUGUGGGAGAAAUCGAAUAGUCUAAUCGAGGGAGACAAACGAAGACAAAUAGAGGACGGGAUAGACCCCGAGAAGCUGUUGUCCGUGACGUUGAAACUAGUCAAAUUUGAAGCACGUCCGAAGAAUAAGGAUGGAAUUUCUCCAUGGAAGUGAUUUCUGGACAAAUCAACAAUCUCUACAUUACUUGGAAGCUGAGAAAGUGAGAGUUCUCCGGAAAGACGGUUGUAGCUCAAGUCGAGGAUCUCAAGGCGAUUCAAGGACAAGAAGAAUCUGGCUUCGAGUGAACCAUAAAGUGAGUUGUGGGAGAGAUUGAGGUGUGUAAGAUGGGUGAGAUUUCCAAGUGAUGAGGGAGAAAUAAUACCCCCAUUGAGGCCUUUGAAUGGUAACUGCAAUCGCGUGAUGUGAAGGUCCUGAUCACAAGUGAUGCCUUCCCACUGGCAACAAUCAGCUGAAGUAGUAGUCCAGUUCAAUGGAGAAGAAGACAGAGAGUGAGAGAAGGUCGUGAGAGCUUUGCGUUCGCUUGGAUCGCAAGCAUCAUUCAUAAAUAUAAUGGAAUUGAAUAAGAGGAUGAAGAGGAAGCCAUGAGAGAUUGAAUCAUCCAUCUUAGAUUAAGAUUCUCACAGGUUUGUUUACAUAUAAUACGCAUAUACACGUAUACAUAUAGGUCAAAUGUGCACCAUUUUGUGCAGUAUAUACAUCUUCUGGAAGUCAUGACAGCUACAUAUGAACAUUGUUAAGUUGCAACUUGCAAGCUUUUCUAUGGACCAAAAUUAUAUAAUAUUAUGGUUUUGUCUGCAACUUCCCAAUAUCUUCUAGGUCGCGUAAAGAUUCUUUAUGUGUUAAAGUCUAUGGAUUUGAAGAGGUUUUAAUUGGUUUUGUUUUGUUUGAUUUGACUUUAGUAGUAAACAACAAACAAAAGACUUCAAAGAGUCACUUACGGGCCAUGAAAUAUUUUGAAUUUUGAUUAAAUUUUCUUUGUAAAAUGGGUUGGUUUGACUUCUAACAAUGACUUUUCAAGUGCCUAAAUGCAUUUAGAUUACAAUUUUUUUUUCCUUUUUGGAUGAGAGCAAUAGAAGGAGACUCAAACUUAGGACUUUGAGUGUAACGGUAAAUAUUCUUAAUCACUUCAGUUACAAGCUUUUUGCGAGAUUAGAUUUGUUUUAAAAUAUGGAAAGAGAGAAAAAAAUGACUUUCUUUGACGCUACAUAAAGGUAAGGGAAAAUGAAUUUCAAGUCAGUUUAAUUUUUUCGGUUUUUGUCUUAAGAAAGGAGAAGAGUGAGACUCGAAGUUUUUGUGCAAGCGCAAGUAAAGUGCCCUACGACUAAUAUAAAAUGGUCAACUACUUGUAUAUCAAGUAGCAAUAUCACUUUCAGCAUCUGGCUAUUUUUCAAAGUGUUUGAAAAUGAUUUCUAUUGCGAAUUUAACUUUUUAUGUAUGCUCUUUCAUUUUCUUUUUAAUCCAAAUUUCUUAUUAAUGUUUGUAAGAAAAGGCAACAAUUUAUUCAACGGAGAAAUUAUAAAUAAUUAUAGGGUAGAUUACGGAAAACUUGAUCAACAAGAAUGCUGAAAUUCUUGACAAAUUAAAUGGCAGCCUGCAAGUGAAUUUCCGAUUAACUAUUUCAGUAUUCUGUCAUGACGAAAUUCGAAUACUUUUGCGUAGGAAUUUAGUUAGGAAAGUUCGAUGCAUAUUUAACCCUACAACGUUAAUUCCCUUUCUUUUUUACUCAGUUGUUAGAUUGUUUGUAUGCAGCAGCAAUGUGGUUAAUAAGUCCUUUAUUUCUCACAAAAAAAUUACACUUGAUCAACAUAUGAAGCGAUCUUUAACAUCGGAGAGGAACUGGAAAUACGCAUAUCGCCAUGACGUGAUCAAAGCCAAAGAGCCACAAACUCCCCAAAAUCCUACAAUGAAACCAAGAGCAACUGAAAUAUAAAACCAUGGAAUAUCAUUCCCAUUGCCAUGCACAUCUUCCAUGUUCUUAGUUGCAUUAUCACUUGUGUUCUGCUGGCAUUUGUUUGGAAGCGGGAAACCGCAAAGUCCCGGGUUGCCCUCAAAGGCAGUGGCAUUGAAGCCUUGGAUCUGAGUGCCUAACGGUACUUGUCCUUGGAGGUUAUUGUAUGCAACACUGAGUGAACCCAAGAAAUGAAGACUUGAUAGUGAAGCUGGGAUUCCGCCUGACAGAUGGUUUCUUGAGAGGUCUAAUCUCUCCAAGUUUGUGAGGUUAGAUACCUGGUCCGGAAUGCUGCCAACGAUGUUGUUGACGCUGAGAUCCAGCUCGUGAAGGUUUUGCAACCGGCCUAUCUCAAUGGGAAUAUUGCCACUUAGACUGUUAUUCCGGAUGUAAAUUGCUCGCGGCAAGUUGGACACAUAGUUGUACUGCAGAUUUGUGAUAGAUGCAUUCGUUCGCUGCGUGUAGAUAGGUAGUUCGACAUCACCACUAUCUGUUUGAGCGGCAGGCUUCUCGGAUACAAGAGCUUGUAGUGAGAAAAGCUCCUUUGGAAGUCCCCCCGAAAGCGAGUUGUUGUUCAAGCUUAUGAAGAAAAGACUGGGAAGACUUCCCAACCAACGAGGUAUUGAGCCUGUGAGUCUGUUGGUAGACAAAUCAAGGGCUUCGAGUUUCUUGAGCUUUGACAUCCACACCGGAAUAUGACCUUUAAGUUGGCAGUUCGAUAUGCCAAAAAGGCGGAGAUUUUGAAACCCAGAACCAAUCAUAGCAUCACCAUCCGGCAGUUCUUCACCUAUAAAAUUAUGUGGAAGCAUGACCACCCUGAGACUUUCGAAACGCAUCAAUAAAUGCAGAGCGCCGGUGACAUUGGUAAGUCUGUUGCUACCAAGCGAGAGGAAGGAUAGGUAUUUCAACGAAACAAUCUCAGGCUGUAUCUGUCCCUCUAGAUUAUUACCGCUCAGGCGAACUGCUUUCAGAAACUUGCAUGAGUAAAGGCUUUUUGGCAUGACACCGGAGAAGUAAUUACUCCCGAGAUCAAGCUUGAUAAGUUGAUCAAGUUUCGAAAAAUUCAGCUCCGAGAUAUUUCCAUCCAAAUGGUUGAAUCCAAGAUUGAGUUCGAUAAGGUUUGUGCAAUUCAUCAAAGAUGGGGGCAGCGGACCUUCAAGAUUGUUGAAAUGAAGGAGCAUGAGUUUUAAUUUGGAGAGCUUCUCGAUAUGGAGAGGAAGUGCGCCACUCAAAUGAUUGAAGUAAAUCUCUAGGAUUGUGAGGCUGGUGAGAUUGACAAUGUUGUCACUAAUGUGACCAAAAAGCUGAUUGGAAGGUAACGAAAUUUCGUGAAGCGCUUGAGCUUUGAAGAGAUCACUAGGAAGAGUCCCAGAGAGAGUAUUAAAGCCCGCACGAAAGAUUUCCAAUUUCAAACAGUUUCCUAGUCCGAGAGGAAUUGAGCCAUUGAAAUCGUUGUGGGAGAAAUCCAAGACUCUGACCGAAGAGGAACGAAGACAAAUAGAGGAAGGUAAUUUGCCAGUAAAAUGAUUUUUACUGACAUUCAAGCUGCUCAAACUCCAGGCAUGCUGGAGGAAUGAAGAUGGAAUUGUUCCAUUGAAUUGAUUGUUCGACAAAUCCACUAUUUGAAUGUAACUAGAUGAUAGAAACAAUGGGACUUCUCCGGAGAGAAGGUUAUAGCUCAAAUCAAGGAUUUCAAGGCGACUCAAGGACAACAGAAGUCCAGCUUCAAAAGGACCGGAAAGCAGAUUGUGGGAGAGAUUGAGGUGCGAAAGAUGUGUGAGGUUUCCAAGAGAGCAAGAAAUGCCUCCUUGGAGCCGUUUAGAGGGCAACAAAACAUGUGUUACCCUACCAUUGGCAUCACAAGCGAUGCCUUCCCAGUGACAACAAUCACUGGAAGACCAAUUUAAAUGAGAAGAAGACAUAUUGAAAGAUGACAAAAGAGAGUUGUGAUCUGCCUUGUUGCAAGCAUCGUUUGUAGAAAUGAAAGUAGAGAACACAAAAAACAGGAAGAGGACUCCACAAGGCAUUAUAUGACUAGGUUCCGGCAUGGCGUUUUUCGCUAUGGCUGUACCGGGGUUAUAUUGCUCACGUCGUUUCGGGUGUAUAUAUACACUCAUUUGUUUGAACCAAAGGAGGUGGAAAUUAACAAGGGAAAGAAGGUAAUUAGGAAAUGGUUUGAAUUCUUGUGCGCAGUGUUUGAAUUUCUCAGUCUUUGCUUUAUAGACACUUUGAGUGAAAUGGGACGUCACUAAACAAUGGAGGGUCUAAUCAUGGGUUGGCAGCAACGUAAUAGAGGGUCUAAUUAUUGGUUUACUUUAAGUUACGAUCAAGGUAAAUUAAUGGAGCAUUUUGUUUAUUUGUUUAUCUUUUUUGCUGGGUAAGAUGCUUUAUAUAUGUUACAGAACACUCACGCAAAGUAGGAAAAACGGCAGUAUCUGUUGAGAGCAAGUCUCACGUUGAUGACACGCACUCCAGGUUAUCCCGUUAGGUUGUCCACGUGUUAGGCUUAAAAAUUCGUCACACGUGGAAGACGUGUUGAGAAUAAGUCUCAUAUUGAUAGGAGGAUGAAUCUUGCAUGGUGUAACCUCAACUUCUUCAGUACCUCGAGACAUCAUCAAAUUCUAAACCAAGACAUUUGUUUGCCAAAAAAUUUAACAGAAGAAACUGUUAAAUUGCAAAUUUAUAAUAAUUGACUAGCCGAUGAGCACACACUCUAUGUGUGUGAACAAUUUCAUUUUAUUUUUUGUUUUUUUAUUAAGGAGUGUGAAUAGUUUUUAAAAUUUUAAAAAGAGUAUGAAAAAAUGAUGGUGUGACAAUUUCUCUUAAUAAGUGCAUAUUUUAUCUUAAUAUUACAUAAUUACUGUUUUUUGUCUUUCUAAUUUAAAUAUUGUGUAUCAAAAGUGAGGGUAAAAUAAAAAAAAUAAGGAUAUGAUUGUCAUUUUGUCAAAAGAUACAAAAUUACUAUUUUGCCCUCCUCAUGUCAAUAUUGUGUAUUCAAAAGUAAGGGGAAAUUUGAAAAAAUGAGGAAAAAAAGUUGACAAUGGCUCUUCUCUUAAUAGAAUAUAAAAGAUAUGGAGAAUGCUUUGAACUUGCACUCACAUGCCACUUACCUAAGUUGAUUUUUCUUCUCUUAUCAGAUUAGACUCAAUGGUUUACUUAAGUCAUGAUCAAGGUAAAUUAAUGGAGCAUUUUGUUUAUCUUUUUUGCUGGGUAAGAUGCUUUAUAAUAUGUUACAGAACACUCACGCAGGGUAGGAAAAACGACAGUACCUGUUUAGAGUAAGCCUCACGUUGAUGAAAUGAUGGACUUUGCUUGGGUUUAUAAGUAAAUUGGGCUACUCUUCAUAUUGCCAAUUGGUUUUAUAUAUGGUGGAACUUCAACUUCUUCAUGGUAUUAGAGUAAGUUGUCCCACGUGUGAAAUCAAACGGUCACACACGCUCCACGUCAUCCCGUUAUGUUGUCCACGUAUUCGGCUUAAAAAUUCGUCUCUUAUGGGGGACGUGUUGAGAAUAAGUUACACAUUAAUAGGAGGAGGAACCUUGCGUGGUGUAACCUCAACUUCUUUAGUACCUCGAGACAUCAUCAAAUUGUAAACCAAGACAUUUGUUUGCCAAAAAAUUUAACAGGAGAAACUAUUAAAUUGCAAAUCUAUAAUAAUUGAUAUGGAAAAUGCUUUGAACUUGCACUCCCAUGCCACUUACCUAAGUUGAUUUUUCUUCUCUUAUCAAAUUGGACUCAAUGGUUUACUUAAGUCAUGAUCAAGGUAAAUUAAUGGAGCAUUUUGUUUAUCUUUUUUUUGGGUAAGAUGCUUUAUAAUAUGUUACAGAACAUUCACGCAGAGUAGGAAAAACAAUAGUACCUGUUGAGAGUAAGUCUCACGUUGAUGAAAUGAUGGAUCUUGCAUGGGCUUAUAAGUAAAUUGGGUUACUAUUCAUAUUGCCAAUUGGUUUUAUGGUAAAACCUCAACUUCUUCAUGGUAUCUGAGUAAGUUGUCCCACGUGUGAAAUCAAACGAUCACAUGUGACACGCCCCGAUCUUGAUGUCCUCGGGACAUCAAGAUGGUCACGUGCUGGCCGAUACCCGAAGGGUGACGAAAGCCAUUUGAUUUAAGCAGAAGCUGAGAAAUAUACUAAAACAGGCAAUAGGGACUAAUAACACCAAAAUAAAGUUCAACUGCUAAUUAAUAAAAUUAUGGUCAUACACGUAAGUUCAGAGCAUACAUCUAAUACAGAUUACAAGCAGAAUUUAAGAUAGAGAAGUGUUAUAUUACAAUAGGUGUCGAAGCAGAGAAGAUAUAACACUAAAUCACUGGUAGGGAAAUGCCUCGUAGUUCAUGUCAUAAUCCUUGUUCUAGGUCCUGAAGGGGGCACAAAACAAACAUGAGUGGACCAAUUUGAUAUAUAUAAUAAAACAGUUAUUAACAUACUAACCCCCAGAUUUUAUGAAAACACAUAUAUAAUAAUAAACAUAGGUUUUUCCAAAACCUAACAUGUUGUGCAGUGUCUUAAAUCAUAACUUGUAUAUAUAAUAAUCACUAGUGAAUUGUUCGAUAACCCCCAGGCCCCAUGCCGACUCCCUGUCUUUGAGCAAAUAGUUAGAGGAAAAUACACUUCAGGCCUCAUGCCGGCUCCUCGUCCCUGUGCUAAAUAGCCAGAGGAAACACGCUACAGGCCCUAUGCCAACAUCAAACUGUCGUCCGGGACGGACCGGAAUCUAUCCAUACGUCCCGUAGCGGAAAGUACCACUAGGCAAGUACAAAACCAUUGAACAUAUAUAUUUUGAAAAGCAACUUCAUAGUAUAAAGUCAUCCAUCAUCUAUACUAUAAAGAGGUGUUCGAAACAUGUUCUAAAUAUCAUAUCGUCAUUCAUCGGAUAUUCUAUCAGAACACGGGUUAUAGGAAAAAUAGUAAUAAUUCAAACUAGCCUCACUAAGCAUGUUAUCUCACAAAACAUUUCAUAAAACAUAAUCAUUAAAUCAUGUUUUUCAUGUAUGCAUUUCUACUAUUAAAACAUGCAUUUUUAGAAGGGGUCCACUCACCGUACACCGAUGGUGCAAAGUUGUACCAAAAAGGAAUAACAAAAUCACCGCUAAUAAUUGCACCUAUUCACAUAAAGGGUACCUUUAGUUAAACUCUAUUCAAACAAUUGAAUUUGGGAAAACGGACUUAAAAACAGGUCCAUGACGUCAAAAUUAGCCUAGGAGAGGUCUCGGACGAAAUCCCGAAAAGUCAACUUUAAAAGUUAACAUUGAUCGUUGACCGGUCAAAGUCAACGUUGACCGUUGAUCGAGUCAACGGUCAACUAGGUCAAUGGUCAAACUAGGCUUGGAUUUAGGUUGAGCCGAUUGGGCCCUAAAGGUUUUGGGUCUAAAGGGUUUAAGGGAAUAAGUUUAGGAUGAUGGGUUUUGGGUUUAGGGUUAAUAUGUAGGCUAGGUUAUAGGGGAAAUGGGUUAGGAGUUCUCUGGGCUCAGGCCCAGACCUACACAGCCCAAGGGCCUCAUUACAAAGGGUUUAGGGUUUAGUUAACGGGCCAAGGGCCCUAAAGGAAACGGCCCGAAGACCUUUUUGGGUUUUAAGGAAAUAAAACAAAAACAAACUAAAAUAAAAAGGAAACGGGUUGGGCUACUGGGCGGAAACCAAAACGGGCUUAAGGCUCGUGGGUUGAGAAACCGCCUGAAAGGCCUUGGGUGCACCGGGGAAGAACGCCGGAGCUUCUACAGCUCCGGCCAACCAUAAAUGGACAUCCUAGACCCCGAUCUAGGUACCAAAAUGAAGCACAAGAUGAGAAGAGCAAUUUUAUACCUUCCUUAACGGUCGGAGAUGACCGAAAAAUCCCUCGACUCACACGGGUUCACCGAAGAUGGGUGUGCCUUCACCCGAGUCGAUCUCGUUCUAAAACCUUGAUAAAAACGAGAUAAAACUCAUUAAAUCCCUUCCAAGCUUCACACUGGAACGAAAAGGAAGACAAAUCCAAACUUACCUUACCGGAAAAAUGUCGAAGAGUUCCUGGGUUCCACUGCUCCUCGCAGCUACGGGAGAGAAAGAGAGAAAGACAAGGCUGAUGAUGAUGGUGGUGUCUUCCUCGCAGGUGAUGCAGCUGGGUGUGUGUGUGUGCUCACAGUGCAAGAGAAAGAGAGAGAAAGAAAGAAAGUGCAGAGAAAGAUAGCUGAAAGAAGAAAAGAGGAAAGGGGUCACGGGUAGGGGAGAGAGAGAGAAGAACGUGAGGGGUGUUGGGAAGCUGACACCUAGCAGCUUGAGGGUGAAGAAAAUCCCACUUAAGAUCUGGAUUGGGUAAGAAAAUUAGGACUAAAUUGAUAAAUUUAAUAACAUUUUGGGGAUAAUUACAUAAUUAUAUUUUUAUAAAUGGGGGUGGGUGUAACAAUCUACCCCCCUUAUAAAAAUUUCGUCCCUGAAAUUUACGUCCUAUAAAAUUUUCCCUUGAGCUUAAGUGGCAUACGGCGGUCACACAACACGCCGGAUGCACUCUUCCACUUCAUCCAUCCAGCUUGUAUUUUAUGGUUGAGGUCUCCAUCUAAUUCUCCGUUCUUUUGCAAGAUAGAUCUUAGGUAGCGAAAGCGGUCGCUUUUGGUAUUUCAUGAUCUCCGAUCCUCACCCCUAACUCAUUUUGGACUCCAUUUGCACUGAACUUGCACUCCAUAUAUUCUGUCUUUGAUCGGCUUAGGCGAAGACCUUUAGAUUCCAACACUUUUCUUCAAAGGUUAAGCUUCGCAUUUACCCCUCCCUGAGUUUCAUCUAUCAACACUAUAUCGUAUGUGAAAAGCAUACACCAAGGAAUAUCAUCAUGAAUAUGUCCUGUUAACUCAUCCAUUACCAAUGCAAAAAGGUAAGAACUUAAGAAUGAAUCUUGAUGUAACCCUAUAGUUAUGGGGAAGCUUUCGGUUUGUCUUUCAUGAGUUCUUACGACAGUCUUUGCUCCAUCAUAUAUAUCCUUUAUAGCUUGGAUAUAUGCUACUCGUACUACUUUCUUCUCUAAAAUCCUCCAAAGAAUGUCUCUUGGGACCCUAUCAUACGUUUUUUCCCAUCUCUAUAUCUUUUCAUCAAUCUUCGUAAGAGAUAGAUUGCCUCCAUGGUUGAACGCCCUAGCAUGAACCCGAAUUGGUUGUCUGAAUCCCGUGUUUCUUGCCUCAAUCUAUGCUCAAUGACUCUUUCCCAGAGCUUCAUUGUAUGACUCAUUAGCUUAAUACCCCUAUAGUUCAUGCAAUUUUGUACGCCGCCCUUAUUCUUGUAGAUAAGCACCAAAGUGCUCUUUCUCCACUCAUUUGGCAUCUUCUUCGUUUUCAAAAUCCUAUUGAAAAUGUCAGUGAGCCAUGCUAUACCCGUCUCUCCUAAGACCUUCCACACUUCAAUCGGUAUAUCAUCCGGGCCCACUGCUUUUCUGUGCUUCAUCUUUUUCAAAGCUACAACCACUUCGUCCUUCCUAAUUCGGCGAUAAAAUGAGUUUCUACACUCUUCUGAGUUACUUAACUCCUCCAAAGAAGUACUCCUUUCAUGUUCUUCAUUGAAAAGAUUAUGAAAAUAACUUCUCCAUCUGUCUUUGACCGCAUUCUCUGUAGCAAGAACCUUUCCAUCCUCAUCCUUGAUGCACCUCACUUGGUUUAGGUCUCUUGUCUUCUUUUCCCUUACUUUAGCUAGUUUAUAGAUAUCCAACUCUCCUUCUUUGGUAUCUAGUCGCUCAUACAUAUCGUCACAAGCCGCUAGUUUAGCUUCUUUCACAACUUUCUUCACCUCUUGCUUCGCUCUUCUAUACCUUUCACCAUUUUCAUCGGUCCUAUCCUUGUAUAAGGCUUUACAACAUUCCUUCUUAGUCUUCACCUUUGUUUGUACCUCCUCCUUCCACCACCAAGAUUCCUUUUGGUGUGGAGCAAAGCCCUUGGACUCUCCUAAUACCUCUUUUGCUACUUUUCUGAUACAACUAGCUAUGGAAUCACAACUUUGGCUAGCUUUCCCCUCUCUAUCCCACACGCAUUGGGUGAUUACUUUCUCUUUGAAAAUGGGUUGUUUUUUCUCCUUUUAGAUUCCACCAUCUAGUCUUUGGGCACUUCCAAGUCUUGUUCUUUUUUUCCUCUCUCUUUUGAUAUGUACAUCCAUCACCAACAAGCGAUGUUAAUUAGCCAAGCUCUCUCCCGGUAUAACUUUGCAAUCCUUACAAGUUAUACGGUCCUAUUUCCUCAUUAAAAGAAAAUCUAUUUGUGUUUUUUACGACCCACUCUUGUAGGUGAUCACAUGUUCUUCUCUCUUCUUAAAGAAGGUGUUGGCUAAGAAGAGAUCAUAUGCCAUUGCAAAAUCCAAGAUAGCUUCCCUAUCCUCGUUUCUCUCCCUAAAACCAUGGCCACCAUGAAAACCUCCAUAGUUGCCUGCCUCUUUGCCCACGUGUCCAUUUAAAUCUCUUCCUAUAAAUACAUUCUAUGUCUAAGCAAUUCCUUGCACCAAGUCUCCAAGGUCUUCCCAAAAUUUCUCAUUCAAACUCGUAUCCAACCCUACUUGAGGUGCGUAUGCACUAAUCACAUUGAUGAGUUCUUGUCCUAUUACAAUCUUGAUUGCCAUGAUUCUAUCUCCUACCCUCUUGACAUCUACAACAUCUUGUGUCAAGGUCUUGUCCACGAUGAUGCCAACAUCGUUUCUCGUUCUAUUUGUGCCCGAAUACCAAAGUUUAAAACCUGAGUUUUCUAGUUCCUUUGCCUUAAGACCAACCCAUUUAGUUUCUUGUAGGCACAUAAUAUUUAUCCUUCUCCUCACCAUAACUUCCACUACUUCCAUAGAUUUUCCCGUUAAGGUUCCUAUAUUCCAUGUUCCUAAACGCAUUCUACUCUCUUGAACUCUAACCUUCUGUCUUAGCUUCUUCACCCUCCCCGUCUAAUAGGAUCAAAGUAUUUCUUUUGUGUGUCCUGUGUAAAGUUGAUAGGAGCAUAUGCUCCCAAACAACUUUGAGUAGAGUCGUUCAAAAAGAAGUUUCUAUGACCCCCUUGCUCAUUUAACAUUGCAUCCUGGUGCCGAUGGAGAUACAGCGACCCUUGCUCACUUAUCACUGUGCUCGGGCCACACAGCUCGCCACUUACUGGUGACGUCCUAGUUUUAGCGCGAAUUUGUUCUAGAUUCAUUUUCAUAAGGAUUCUACGUAACCUAUGAGUGCCAGCUGUCGACUACCUGACGCCUUCCCCCUCCUCCUUUAUCCGGGCUUGGGAUCGGCAAUGUUAGAUAAACUUACACAGGCGGAGUUAACCAACAUGAUUGCACAACUUAUGAAAAUCAAGGAGAUUUUGCCGAAUAGUUUGAUAUGUUAUCUAACCUAAACAUUUUUGUGGUUUUUUUUUUUGGUCAAAAACAAAACUUUAUUAAUGAAAGGGAAUAUUACAAUUUUUGAUAGAUGGGUCUAAGUCCAAACAAACACAAAACCUUACAUAAACAGACUAAGACAUAAUAGAAUAAACAGACUUAAGCAAAAUGAGAACAACACCCCAAGACAUAAAGGGAGGCUCACACAUACUCAGGGCAUGUGCAACAAUAAAAAACAACAGGAAAAAACCUUAAUCUCAAGCAACAAAAAGCAAGCCUCCACCGCCCGCCGCAUCAUCUGCGAUGGAUGAGAUUGCCCCAAACUGAAAAGACCACCCGAACCAAAACUAGAUUUGAGAGUGUUGCGUACAAUCAAUUUAUCAAGAACAACAACAUCCACAACCACACCUGAAAAGAAGGUCAAAAAACAUACAAGAGGAGGGGGAGGGCAAACGGGAUGUGUAAACCACCCUUGUUCCAACAUGAAUCAUUUCACACUUCGCCCAAUUUUUCUGGCAAGCUGGUUCAGCAAUGGGCUGUGAGCGUUAGGUCUUGUGUCAAGAUAGAGUCCAAUAUUCCGAGAUCUAAUUCACGAUUAUGGUUUGGAAAAAAUGAGGGGUAGCAAGGGAGAGGUAGGAAAGAAGGGUGCGAUGUGUGGAUGGCUUUGCUUUGCUUUCUUUCUUAAAGAGAGAGGGAGAGUGCUGAUUGAGGUAGUAAUUAGAAGAAAAGUAAAUAUUUUUAUGGUUAAACAUGUUAUUUAUAACUUACUCUUUAAUAGUUAUUUUGCACUGAUAGGAGCAUAUUUAUGCGACUGAGUUAGCUUGUUCUCAUGCAUUUAUGUUGUUAUUUCUUAGUUAAUUAUGUAUUUUAAGCUAUUUUCGUGUGUUUGUAGGUCCAAAGGGUUAAUGUGGCAAAGAAGUGCAUUUUGGAGCAUUUUAGAGCAUUUUUGGGCAUGGAAUGGAUAGCUUAUGCUUGGAGCAAAAGGAAUGGACGAAAUUUGAAGUUUGUGCAUCAUCCUCUCCCUAUAAAUAACCAUUUUAGCACACUCAUUUCACCCAACACAUUCACCUACCACUACAUACACUCAUUUCACCUAAUACAUCCACUCAUUACAACUACCCAACACAUUUAUCUACCACUACAUCCACUCAUUUCACCCAACACAUUCACCUACCACUACAUACACUCAUUUCACCUAAUACAUCCACUCAUUACAACCACCCAACACAUUUAUCUACCACUACAUCCACUCAUUUCACCCAACACAUCCACUCAUUUCAACCACCCAACACAUUCACUUACCACUACAUCCACUCAUUACCACCACCCACUACAUCCUCUUCCUAGCCUAUAAAUACAUUCAUCCACCCUUCAUCAAAGGGGAGAUAUGAAUCCAAACACAUCCAUUCAUCUUCACAUCCAUUCCUCCAUACAAACAAACCUUCAAACACUUACCAACACCUUGUGCCGUAGAAAAGGAAAGGAAGGAAAGUGCUUGGACGUGCUUGCUGUCCAACUUGGAUCAUUGGAGCGUUUAGGUGUUUUCUUUCUUUUGUUUCCAAUGUUUAAAUUCAUUUUCUUUUGUUUUGUUGUGAAUAUGAGUGGCUAAACCCCUCUUGGUUAGGGGUGAUUUCAAAGCCAUGAUUAUGUGUGUAAUAUGAUUUGAUAAAUUCCAGUUAUGAACUCUUGAAUCGUAAAUGCAGUUGGCUUAACUAUUUGAUUGAUAACUUAUUUGUAUUUGUUAAUUAAGGGUCGACACUUAAUUGGCAUGCAUAAAUCCGUUGCUAGAAUAUAAGGAAGUUUCACAUAAUCGUUACAAACUUAUAUUCACAUGUAGUGAAGGUCGCUUAUAAACGAUCGCGUUAAGUUCAAUUCCUAGCAUGAGUGACAUGAUGCCAUAGUUGCAAGUGCUUUGUUAAUGCUUAUGAUUUUCAUUAAACGUAAUGAUCUUUGAUUGUAUCUCUAUUAUGAUGUCAUGUAGGGAACUUUAGAAGAAUGUUUUGGGUUGUCGAAUGAUGUCAUCCAAUCCAAUAAAACAAGGAAAAUCUGAGAGUUAAUUAGUGAUGUCACGAUUAAUUUGGAGCAUUGUCAUUCAUAAUUCAAUGCUGGAAAUCGAGUUAUUUGCAUACAUGUCAUGUGUGGAGAAAAAGCCUCUAGCUAUCUCAUCCAUCAUCUUAUUUCUCAAAUUUGUUUUACAAUCUGUCUAGUUUUUCAUACUUGUUUGUUUAUUUCAACUUCAUCCACAACUCAAUCCCCCAUUUACUUUAGUGUGUCUAAUUAUUUAUAAUCUGUUUUAAUUCGUGUUUUUAAAUGUUUUGAUUCAAGUAAAAGUUAAUUUUCGUCCAAAGUCAUUCCUAGUAUCUAGUUUAAGUUUAUUUAGUUGUUUUAAGUUGUUUUGAGUAUUUUAAGUUUGCUUUAAGUCUUGUGAGUCUUGUUAAGUAUUUUUAAGUUUAGUUUUAUGUUUUUGAGUCAGUUUAGAGGUUAUUAGCAAGCCCUCCUAAUCUCCGGUCCAGAACGAUCCCUACUUAUACUUGUACUACAAUUGUCAAAAGAGGGUUAAAUUUGUGUGUUAAGAUAAUUUUCGCAUCAUGCACCAAAGAAUUUCUAGCUCAAUUCGUACACAAAAAUAUUUAUUCGUCUUCUGGGCAAGGAGCUUUAAUAGGAACACUAAAAGAGAGGUGGUUUAGAAGUUGUCAAUGACCAUGAAAGAUUCACCUUUGCUUGCAUAUUCCAAACAAUUUGUACUCUCAGCUCCACUAUCCAGUUUCCUGUUAAGAACAAGGACAAGAAUUAUAUAUCACAAACCAAAUCGAAAAAGAAAACGCAAAAAUGGUCAUACCUUCUUCCAAGCCUUCUCCACAUCAGAUAGAGCUUGAAUUGAACAUUGUCCAGGAAUUGGAAAUAUACAUGUCUCCACGUCCUCUUGAGAAGCAAAGGGCAACAGAAUCCCAAGAACCCUACAACAGAACCAAGCCCAACGAAUAACCCAACCCAUAGACCUUGAUCCUCAUCGUCGUCCAAAUCCUGGUUGUUCUCAUUCUCAUCUGCAUCAUUGCCAUUACUUGACAAGCACUAGUUUGGAAGUGGGGUGCCGUAAAGUUUUGGAUUCCCUUUGAAUGAAGAGGCAUUGAAGCAUUGGAGCUGAGUGCCGGUUGUUAUAAUCCUCCAAGAUUAUUGUAUGCAACAGUAAACGUAGACAAGAAAUGAAGACUUGAUAGUGAUGAUGGGAUUUCACCUGACAGACAGUUACUAUUGAGCUCUAAUCUCUCCAACUUUGUGAGGAUGGAUAUUUGUUCUGGAAUGUUGCCGGAGAAGUUGUUGAUGCUUAGAUCCAGUUGUUGAAGACAUAGCAACUGGCCAAUCUCUAAGGGUAUGCUGCCACUUAAACUGUUGUUCCUGAGGGAGAUUAGUCCUGGCAUGUUGGCCACGUACUUGCUAUGUGAAGACAGCACAAUUGCAUUAUUAGCGCGUUUAAAGUAGACAUGCAACUCAAUAGAACAAUGGCCCAUUUGAUUCGCAGGCUUUUGCAAUACUAACGCUAAGUUCGCACAAGCUCCCUUGGAAAUUCACCCGAAAUCAAGUUGUCAUUCAACAACCAAAAGAAAAGACUCGGAAGAGUCCCCAACCAACCAGGUAUUGUGCCAGUGAGUCUGUUAAAAGACAAUUCCAGGACUUCCAAUUUCCUGAACUUUGAAAUCCAUGCAGGUAUUUGACCUGUCAUGUAACUGCUAUAUAAACUGAAAACACACAAAUUGUGUAACCUGAAAUCUACAGUUAUAUCUCCAUCUGGCAUUUCUUCACCUUGAAAAUUUUCUGAAAGAAUGAGCACCCUGAGACUUUUGAAACGCAUAAAUAUCUUCAUUGCCCCCGUGACAUUGGUGAGUCUGUUAUGAGAAAACAAGAGGAAGGUCAAGUUUUUCAAUUGAAGAAUCUCAUAUUGGAUUUGUCCCUUGAAAUCAUUUGUAGCCAGUCGAAGUGCUUUGAGGGACUUGCAUGAGUAAAGGCUUAUUGGCAAGAUACCAGUGAGUGCAUUAUUUAGAAAGUCUACCUUACUAAGUUGAGUAAGUUUAGAGAAAUCGAGCGCAGAGAUAUUCCCACUAAAACGGUUGAAUCCCAUAUUUAUUUCAACAAGGUUUGUGCAAUUCAUCAAAGAUGGGGGCAGAGGUGACACGCCCCGACCUUGAUAUUCCCCGAAUACCAGGAUAGACACGUGUUGGCCGACAUCCGAGGGUGACGAAAGCCAUUAAUUGAUACAAAAGCUAAGAAUAAAAAAUAAAUAAGGGUUAGAAAUUUAAAAUACUAAGAGUUAAAAAUUUUAGGAACGUGCUCAGAGCAUACAACUAAACCUAAUCACUAAAAAGAAUUUAGAUAAAAUUGAAAGAAUAAAAGAGUGGGUCCUACAUCAAAAGGAUCCGAAGAUGCUGCUGCGAAAGUGCCUUCACGCCGGGAUUAGAUGCCUUGAUUCUAAGUCCUGAAUGGGGGCGCAAAACAAAGGUGAGUGGACCAAGUUCAUAUAUAUAAUAAUAAUAAAACAGUUAUCAAGAUACUAACCCCCACCGUUAUAUAAUGAAAACUACUAGCAUAAUAAAUGAUGGAUUUAAUAAAAAUCAUAGCAUGCCAAAAAAUAUCUCAAAAGCCAUAUAUCGCGGAAAAGCAUUGCGGAAAUCGAAAUGUCAAACGUCUCAUAAAUCAUCUCGUAAGCGCAGUGUGCUGCUAGAAAGAUCACCGAAUAAAUAUAACUCCCGGCUCAAUGCCUGCACCUAAGUCUCUGUGCCCGUAGCCAGAGAUAACUCUCUCCCGGCUCAAUGCCUGUCACCGUGUCCCUCAGCCUUUCGCUAGGGAUUAUUUCUCCCGGCCUAAAUGCCAACAUCAGAUCCUCGCCCUAGGCGGCAUAGUGUGUACUAGGUACACACAAAUAGUUACGCCUCUAAUAAAUAACCACUUCAUAGUAUAAAUACCGAUCAUCGUUUACUAUAAAAAGGGGUUGAAAAACAUGUUCUAGCAUCCUAUCGUCAUCUAUUAGAUAGUCUACCAGUUCAUGGUUUUUAUAAAAAAAUACAAUAUAUUAAAAUAUAGCUCAAUAUAGGCCAACAAUUAAUUCCUCACCAAAACACGAGACGAUAAUCAAUAUAUUUAAUCAACAGGCUUCACAUAAAUCAAAUUAUAAAUCCGUAGGCAUGCUAAUCAUUCAUGCAAUUAAAUUAUCAAAUCAUGUAAUUUUAGAAGGGGUCCACUCACAGUACUUAGUUGCCAAAAGUUGCGCCACUAACGAAGACGGAAACGUCACGAUAAUUGCCCCUAAGCACAUAAAUAGCACAUUUAGUCAAACUCUACUUAAACGAUUGAAUUUGGGAAAAUGGACAUUGGAAAUGGGUUCAGAACGUCGAAUUACCCUAAGGAGGAUCUCGGACGAAAACCCGUAAAGUCAACCCUAAAGUCAACGGUCAAAUUAGGUCUAACGGGUUUUAAACUUGAAUCCGGAUUAGGGUUUAGGUUUAGGUUUAGGUUUAGGUUAAAUAGAAUUAGGAUAUAUUGGGUUUUAGGUUUUCUAAGGUUUUUGGUUAAAAAGGGUUAGGAUGAAAAAUGGUGGUUUGGGCUUAAGCCCAAACACACACAUACACCACUAACACACACACACAUGCACGGGCUACACACAGCCCAUACACACAUACACACAGGCCCUACGGCCUUACUAAAAAAAAAGGGCUUUAAGCCCUUUAAAAGGAACCGGCCCAAGGCCAAUAUAUAUAAGGCCCGAGGCCUUAUGGGGUCUUUAAAAUAAAUAACUAAAAUAAAAAGAAAUGGGCUGGGGUCUAACGGGCUUAAGGCCCAAGGGGAAGGGAAAUGCCGGAUGGCCUGGGUUUGUCGAAGGAGAAGGCCGGAAAUUCGGUCGGAGAACCACCCAACCUUAAAUGGCCAUAACUUUGUCACUACUUAAUGAAAUCAAGCGAGACAAAAAUGAAAGUUUUAGCCCUUGAAGAGACGAAGAGAAUGGUACCUCACACGAUGUCUAACUCGUCGUGGUUUGGCCGGAAAAUGCCUCGAAAGCCUCGGAGGUCGCCGAAAACUGGGUAAGAUUAAAAUGAGUAUAACUUCUUCAAUACUCAACGAAAUCGAGUGAAACAAAAAGGAAAGUUGUAGUACUCGACGAGACGAAGAGAUUGAUAACUUGCACGCCUGAUAAAUCGUCGUGGUUUGGCCGGAAAUGGCCUCAAAAGGAGCGGUGCUCGCCGGAGGCUCCUGGGAUUUCGUCGUCCUUUCUACAACGGGAGAGAGAAAACUACAGAGGUUUUGAUGGUGAUGUCCUCAGCAGAUGGAGUGGCUGCGUGUUGCUCGGGGAAAAGGAGUUGCAGUAAGGGAGAGAGAUGAGGUCCGAAAGAGAGACACGGGAGAGAGAGUUGCGGAAGAGGUUGAGGGAGAACAGAGAGUUGAGAGAGGGGAGACCGGAAAACAUAAAAAUAAAACAAGGUGGGCCCCACAGGCUCACCAAUUAAGGACUAACCAAUUUUAAAUAAAAAUGGGUUGGGGUGUUUCAAGAGGACCUUCUAGAUUGUUGUAAUGAAGGUGCAUGAGCUUUAAUUUGGAGAGCUUUCCAACAUUCUCACCGAUGGGUCCGAAAAGGCUAUUAGGAGAUAAUGAAAUUUCUUGAAGGGCCUGAGCAUUGUAGAUAUCAGCAGGAAAGGACCCUGAGAGAGUGUUGUCGCGAGCACAAAAGACCUCCAAUUCGGAACAGUUUCCUAGUCCUAGAGGAAUUUAGCCAUUGAAAAUAUUGUGGGAGAAAUCCAAGACUCUAAGCAAAGAGGAAAGAAGACAGAUAGAGGAUGGUAUUUGGCCUGUAAAAUGACUAUUGCUGACAUUCAAACUGCUCAAAUUCCAGGCAUGCUGGAGGAAUGAAGAUGGAAUUGUUCCGUUAAACUGAUUGCUGGAUAAAUCCACCAUCUGGAUAUAACUUGAUGAUAGAGAUGAUGGUAGUUUUCCAGAUCAAUGGUUUUCGCUCAAAACAAGGAUCUGAAGGCGAGUCAAGGACAAAAAAAUUUGAGCCUCAAGAUGACCGGAAAGCAUGUUGUGGGAGAGAUUGAGAUGCAAAAGAUGUGUGAGGUUUGCAAGAGAGCGAGAAAUGCAACCCUUGAUACCUCUGGAGGGCAACAACAAAUGAGUUACCCUACCAAACAUAUCACAAGUGUUUCCCUCCCAUCGGCAACAAUCGUUGGAAGACCAGUUUAAACUAGAAGAAUCAAUAUCAAAUGAAGGCCGAAGAGAGUGUUGAUCAAUUUUUCGGCAUGCGGGGGUUGUAGCAAUGAAACUUGAGAUGAAAAAUAUGAAGAGGAGGCCAUAUGAAAUUUGAAGUGCCAUGUCUCUAUAUUUGAUUGCUCACAAGUUUGUUAUAUAUGUUAGAGCAGUUAUGUUUUUAUUUAAAUAUUUAAAUAUAUUUAUGUUUUGUUUUAUUACCAAUAUUAAAAGUCAAUUUAUUUUGGCUUAAGGAGUUAUCUCCCCUAAAUUUGAAACAUGCAAUCAAAUCGUUUUGUUUUCUUUUUCAAUUUGAAUUGACUUACGUUUUGUCCCGCUGUGGUUUUUAUCCGUUUUGAUUUCAAUUGCCAUGAUUCCUUGCGGUUUGGAUUUCAAUUGCUUUGAUUCCUUACAGAUUGCAAUCGCAACGUAUUUUUUAUUAUAAUAUAUAUAUACACACACACACAUCAACAUACAUAAAUAUAGAUACAAGUUAUGCGUAUGAUAUAAAAGGCUAAGAGAGAAAAAAAAUACAGCUAUUUUUUUUAAAAUUGAGUUCCAAAAGCAACAUUUAGAAAAGGUGUGAGUUCGUAGGUUCUUUCAUUGUGCAAGGAAGAAUUUAUCAGAGGAAUAAGAUUCUAGACUGUUUUAUCAUGGGGACGACGUGAUAUUUGUGAACUGCUUGCACACUUUGGGCAGAGCCGUGAAACGUCUUAAAGAAAGCGACUUAGUCCGCGACUCAUCCCAAGAAUCAUUUACCACUCAAGGCUUCUACAUUUUUCGGGUAACUUCGUUCCUUUUGAUUUCAGUUUUCAACAAUAUAUAACACACUGAUUUGUUUAGACUUAAGGGGCUAGAAACAACAUCGAAACAUGAAUCAUGCUUCUUGGCAGAUGCAUGCAUGUGAAGAAUAUAAAGCACAUGAGUUGUACUACGUACUUGUAUAUGAUUCAUGUUGCCUAACUAAUCUGCCUACCGGCCGUUGCAGGUGAAAAACGAUUUUAGUCUUUUAAGUUCCACGCUAAAACUAAUUAGAUCUGACGGACUAGCUGUAACUCCUACUAAGCCCAUAAAAGAAUAUUCCUCAACUUUCCGAUGUGGUACAAGUCAUCAUACCCUCAUUGUCGGUCGUGUUGUAUUGCUGAGUUCAUUCAUGGUCGGUCACUCUCCUCAUUGCCAGUUGAUUUUGCAAUUGGAACCUCAUAUUUCUUCAGUCAUGAGUAGCUACACGACUAAGGAGUAACAUCAUGUUGGUUGGGCUUCAGAAUUUUCAACAGUAACGACUAAGGAGUAACAUCAUGUUGGUUGGGCUUCAGAAUUGUCAACAGUACACAACUAAGGAGUAACAUCAUGUUGGUUGGCUUCAGAAUUGUCAACAAUACCAGGUUUUCCACAGCCACUUUGGACUAUGACUCAAAAGCACUUUCAUAAUUCACACUUAGAACAAAACGUGUUCUGCAAUUUAAAUGAAGCAAAUUUAUUAAUUGAAGAGAAAUUUUAAUUGAACCCAAUUUAUGUAUCUCUACACCCAACUAAUAAGUUUUUUCAGCAAACUACCAAAUUUGCCCUUCGAUGAAUGAAAAUGAAAAGAAAAAAAAUUAUUAGAACUCAAAACCCAUAGACCGUCGACACACUUUGUUUAACUUUACACCCACUCCCCCAUUUUUUUCCGGUGAACCAAACCACUUCUCCUCGAUGUCACCGACGGCCACUAUCCUCCUCCACUUUUUAUUUUUAUUUCCACUCCCUCUUUUCUCUUUCCUCUUAAACCGAAUGGAAUUGCAAUGCUCCACCGGCUUUGCUGUCGACAAUGACUUCGAUGUAUGUACUGCGCCAACUCCCUUCCUUACGAACUCUCUCUCUUUCUCCGUCAGCCCGUCAGUUGGAACCUGUUGUUGAUUAUUGGCUCAAACAAAAUAGUCUAAAACCAACAAUUGAUUUCGGCUACUUUUGUGGUCAAAAUUGUUGGUUGGCAUGCUACAUGUGGGAAACAAAAAAUACAUGCAAUUGUGCCUAACUCUUUUGACUUGAUGGUAGGCCUUUGGCCAUUGAUGUCUUUGAGAAGCCACUUUCUUUGGCCUAUAAAAGGAGGUGUAGGCAUAACUCAAAAACAACAAGGAAGAAAGAAAAAUAGCAAGAAGCCAUUCGGCAUAGAGAAGAGUUUUCUCAAAUUGUCUUGCUUUGUAUUUUUUUUUUUGUUUUCUCUUCCUAUUGUAAGUGUGAGAGCUUGGGUUAUUCGGGUCUUUGGGAAAUUGAGUGAUAAACACUAUUGUAUGUUCUCAUUGAUUAUAGUGGAAUACUCCGUCGUCUCCAAACUGGAUGUAGGCAUUGCCGAACCAGUAUAAAUCUUGGUGUUCUUGUUGGUGUUGGUUUUAUUCUGUUCUGUUUUACUUUUUCACUUACAGUUGGAUGCUGCUUUCGCACAACAAGUGGUACCAGAGCCCAGUUCAGUGAAUAGUGUUGGCGCUACAGUCCGUGAACAGUGAACUGCUACAGUGUCUAUGAAUAGUAUUGUACCUGUGAACAGUGUCGUAUUUGUGAAUAGUGCCGAGUGGAUGGCUGGAGAUAAAGAUGAAUCUGUAAAGAGGGGGUCAGCAUCGUCUUCGUCUACAUCCAAUAGACAUCCAUCUACUACUACAAGGUUAGAGGUUGAUAAAUUCAAUGGCUCUAAUAAUUUUGGUAUAUGGCAAUGUGAAGUUAUGGAUGUGUUGUAUCAACAAGAGUUGGAUAUGGUUCUGGAAGAUAAACCAGAAGAUAUUGAUGAUAAGCAGUGGAUGCGAAUUAAUCUUCAUGCUUGUGCUGCUAUUCGAUCGUUCCUUGAUAAGGAGUUGAAAUACCCGUAUAUGAAGGAAACUUCUGCUAAGGAGUUAUGGACGAAAUUGGAAGAGAAGUAUAUGACCAAGAGCGUAGAAAAUCGUCUCUUCUUGAAGAAGCGACUCUUCCGAUUUCAGUAUCGUCCAGGAAUCUCUAUACACGAACACCUCAAUGAUUAUAAUAAAAUACUUGUUGAUUUAGCAAACCUUGAUGUGAAAAUUCCUGACGAGGACAAGGCACUAUGUUUGUUAAAUUCAUUGCCUGAUGAUUAUGAUCAUUUGACAACUACUCUGUUGUAUAGAAAAUCUGAGGUGAAACUUGAUGAGGUGUCUGCGGCAUUGGUGAAUCAUGAGUGUCGUAGGAAGGAACUGAAGACUCACAAUUCACAAACCGAGGCAUUUGUUGCAAGGGGUCGAACAGAGGAAAGAAAAUCUGGGAAGCGGGGAAAAUCUCGUUCAAAGUCACGAGGGAAGUUUCCUGCUAAAGAUGAAUGUGCUUUUUGUCGCCAAAAGGGUCAUUGGAAGAAAGACUGUCCCAAAUUGAAGAACAAAGAGAAGGAGAAAGCGGGUUCUGAAGCAAAUAUUGCAAAAUCUGGAGAUGAUGAUUUCGAGUUUGCUUUGGCUAGUUCAUAUGUUGAUGGUCACUCAAAUGAGUGGAUUUUGGAUUCAGGUUACACCUAUCAUAUAUGUCCCAUUCGGGAAUGGUUUUCUAAUCUCGAGGAGCUGGAUGGUGGAGUUGUUUUGAUGGGUAAUAAUAAUGCCUGCAAAACACAAGGGAUAGGCAAAAUCUGUUUGAAGAUGCAUGAUGGAACAGUCAGAGAAUUAAGUGAUGUUCGGUAUGUACCGGAUAUGAAGAAAAAUCUCAUUUCACUGGGUGCAUUGGAAUCCAAGGGUUUCAAGAUCACCAUGGAGGGUGGAGUUCUUAAAGCUGUGUACGGGGCAUUGGUGGUGAUGAAAGGUACACGACGAAAUAACUUGUAUUUCUUGCAGGGGAAUACAGUUAUUGGUGGAGCAGCUGUCACUGAAGCUGCUGACGCAGAUAGCACAGACACCACGAGGUUAUGGCAUAUGCGUCUUGGGCAUGCUGGUGAAAAAGCGUUGCAAGGAUUAGUGAAGCAAGGCUUAUUGAAAGGUGCAAAGGCAUGCAAAUUGGAAUUCUGUGAGCAUUAUGUGUUGGGUAAGCAAACUAGAGUAAAAUUUGGCACUGCUAUUCACCACACUUAAGGCAUUCUUGAUUAUGUUCACACUGAUGUUUGGGGACCUUCCAAGAAUGCAUCUUGGGGAGGUAGCCAUUAUUUUGUCUCCUUUGUUGAUGACUUCUCUAGAAGAAUAUGGGUGUACAUCAUGAAGCGUAAAGAUGAAGUCUUGAAGAUAUUCCUGAAGUGGAAAAAGAUGAUUGAAACGCAAAGCAGUCGAAAGAUCAAGACUCUCAGAUCAGACAAUGGGGGUGAAUAUAAGUCUGAUUUUUUCUUGAAAGUUUGUCAAGAUGAGGGUAUUGUGAGACACUUCACGGUUAAGGAGACACCGCAACAGAAUGGAAUGGCGGAGCGCAUGAACCGUACUUUGCUUGAGAAAGUCCGGUGUAUGUUGUCUAAUGCUGGUUUAGGCAAGGCAUUUUGGGCUGAGGCAAUUACUUAUGCAAGCCAUCUCAUUAAUCGAUUGCCAGCCGCUGCGAACGAGGGCAAAACGCCCAUGGAGGUAUGAUAUGGUAAACCUUGUACUGAUUACAAGUUUUUACACAUAUUUGGUUGUUCUGCUUACUAUUAUGUCAGAGAAAGCAAGUUGGAUCCAAGAGCAAAGAAAGCUCUAUUUAUGGGCUUUAGCACUGGUGUGAAGGGAUACCGACUCUGGUGUCCAGAUGAGAAGAAAUUUGUUGUAAGCAGAGAUGUGACUUUUGAUGAGGCUGCUAUGGUUAAUCAGAACAAGCAUGAAGGUGAAACUAAAGCGACCGAGACCAUGAGUAGCUCAAAGCAGGUGGAGUUACUGAAGACUCCAGUUGUUCCAGUAAGGUCUGAUGUUACAACCACUAGUCCUACAGUUAAUUCUGAUGAUGAGGACGAGGAUGAUGAAGAGGAAGCACUUACCCAAAAGCCUCCACAGCAACAAGACUAUAUUGCAACCAGAAGAUUGAGAAGGGAAAUUCGAAAGCCUGCUCGAUUUACUGAUAUUGUGGCAUAUGCACUUCCUGUUAUUGAAGAUGAUAUUCCAUCCGCCUACAAAGAAGCUGUCAUGAGUUCAGACCGCGAGUUGUGGAAGAAAUCUAUGGAUGAGGAGAUGAAAUCUCUUCAUAAAAAUGAGACUUGGAAUCUGGUUCAGUUACCAAAGGGGAAGAAAGCGAUUGGUUAUAAAUGGGUGUAUGCCAAAAAAGAUGGAAUCUUUGGGAAAAGACAAUGUAAGAUUCAAAGCCAGAUUGGUAGCUAAAGGCUACGCUCAGAAGGAAGGCAUUGACUACAAUGAGGUAUUUUCUCCUGUAGUAAAACAUUCUUCUAUUCGUAUUCUGUUGGCUUUGGUUGUGCAGUUUGACCUUGAGUUGGCCCAACUUGAUGUCAAGACUGCGUUCUUACAUGGUGAUUUAGAGGAAGAGAUUUAUAUGUCUCAACCAGAAGGUUUUAAGGUUGUUGGGAAGGGCAUUGGCAGUAGAUAUAUGCAUAAUCCAGGAAAAGGGCAUUGGCAAGCUGUGAAAUGGAUUCUACGGUAUAUUCUGGGUACUGUGGAUGUUGGUUUAUUGAUCCAGCAGGAUAAAGUUACUGGUCAAUGUGUUGUUGGAUAUGUGGAUUCUGAUUACACAGGUGAUUUGGACAAGUGUAAGUCCACUACUGGUUUUGUAUUCACUAUUGCUGGAGGUCUAGUAAGUUGGAGGUCGAUUCUGAAAUCUAGAGUUGCUUUGUCGACUACUAAGGCAGAAUACAUGGCUGUAACAGAAGCUGUAAAGGAAGCCAUCUGGCUUCAAGGGUUGCUUGAUGACUUAGGGGUUCAACAAGACCAUGUGAAUGUUCAUUGCGACAGUCAGAGUGCUAUUCAUUUAGCAAAUAAUCAAGUUCAUCAUGCACGUACGAAACACAUUGACGUGAGGUUCCAUUUUGUUGGUAAGAUUAUUGACGAGGGAGAUAUUCUUCUUCAAAAGAUUGGGACCGCUGACAAUCCUGCGGAUAUGUUAACAAAGCCAGUUUUGUUGCUCAAGUUUAAGCACUGCUUAGACUUGAUUGGCAUUUGUAAAAUUUGUUGAUUGCCCCAUGGGGGAGUGGGAGACGACUAUUAGGAGUUCUACUUAGAGGGUUUGAGCCAAGGUGGAGAUUGUUGAUUAUUGGCUCAAACAAAGUAGUCUAAAACCAACAAUUGAUUUCGGCUACUUUUGUGGUCAAAAUUGUUGGUUGGCAUGCUACAUGUGGGAAACAAAAAAUACAUGCAAUUGUGUCUAACUCUUUUGACUUGAUGGUAGGCCUUUGGCCAUUGAUGUCUUUGAGAAGCCACUUUCUUUGGCCUAUAAAAGGAGGUGUAGGCAUAACUCAAAAACAACAAGGAAGAAAGAAAAAUAGCAAGAAGCCAUUCGGCAUAGAGAAGAGUUUUCUCAAAUUGUCUUGCUUUGUAUUUUUUUGUUUUCUCUUCCUAUUGUAAGUGUGAGAGCUUGGGUUAUUCGGGUCUUUGGGAAAUUGAGUGAUAAACACUAUUGUAUGUUCUCAUUGAUUAUAGUGGAAUACUCCGUCGUCUCCAAACUGGAUGUAGGCAUUGCCGAACCAGUAUAAAUCUUGGUGUUCUUGUUGGUGUUGGUUUUAUUCUGUUCUAUUUUACUUUUUCACUUACAGUUGGAUGCCGCUUCCGCACAACACCUGUAGCUUCCUUUCAUUAGUCGUUGUUUAUUUCCCAAGCUGUUGACAUUUAAAUCCCACUCGGUUGAUAACAAAACCAAAAUACUAAUUCACAUUGACCGAAUUGACUUAAUAAUAAUGUUCCAUAUAUAUUAGUUUAUCAAAUUAAUAGGCACCGGAAAAAGUUAACCUAACAAGAAAGACAGAGAGAGAGAUGAAACAACGGUGGUUAACUGCGUUUGGGUUUGGGUUCACCGACAAAAAUGAGGGAUUGGGUGUAAAGAUCAAGUGUGUUGAUGAUUGAUGGUUGAUGGGUUUUGUGUUCUAAUAUUUUUGUUUUUUUUUUCCAUUCACCUAAGGGCACAUUUGGUAGUUUAUUAGGAAAGAAUUAUUAAUUGGGUGUUGAAAUACAUAACAUGGGUUCAAAUCAAAUUUUCCUUAAUUGAAUUAAAUUAUUGCUUUGUCCAUUUGCCUAAUAUUUAAGCCCUCUUUAGCUUGUCAAUUAAACAAGAAAUUAAGCCCUCGAACAAGAAAAUACAAAAGAAGAAAUAAUUGUGGUGGGCCACAUUCAGGGCAAGUUCCCGAACUUCUUUGUGAACAUGUUGAGAGUUUUGUGACCAUUGGAUUUCAAAAAAUUGAUGGUGGAUUAUUUAUAAUAAUGAUUAAUAUAGUGAUUUUAUAUAGAGUAAAUUGUAGCUAUGGUCCCUUAACUUUAACUCAAUUGGAGCAAUGGUCCUUCAACUAAAAAUCCAUUACCAUUGGUCCUUCAACUCAUCAAAACGUGCAAAUGAUCCCUCAACUAAAAAUCCAUUACCUUUGGUCCCUCAACUUUAAUUCAACUGGAGAAAUUGUCCCUUAACUUUAACCCAAUUGUAGCAAUGGUCCUUCCAACAUAACUCGUUUUAACAAAAAAAUUUACGUAGUUGACGAAAAAGACCAUAAUUACACACUUUGAUGAGUUGAGGGACCCUAAUUAUAUAAAUGGUUAUUCCAACAUAAUAUAUUUUGACAAAAUUUUGAAGAAAUUUAUGAAAAUGACUAUAGCUACACAUUUUGAUAAGAUGAGGGACCAAUGGUAAUGGAUUUUUAGUUAAGGGACCAUUGCUCCAAUUUGAUUAAAGUUAAGGGACCAUUGCUACAAUUUACUCUUUUAUAUAAGAGAGACUUAUUCCGAGGUUAGGCAUGGCAAGACAGUCACGAUCCAAGAACGUAUCAGUGGGUGGCCUUUUAGGUUCAACCUACACACGAGAUAUAUGAUUUUCGAAAGGGCUUUUUAUGAAAUAUCAUAACAAUGUUUUACUCAACGAAUGCAAAUAUUUUAUAAGGUAAAUUACAAAAAAUUAUUUCAACUAUAGAUCGAACCACAAUCUCGUACCUCAUGUUUUAAAAAUUAUAAUUGUUAGUUUAUAAGUGUAUAUGCUAAAAUGUAAUAAGAGUUGAGCUUUAAAUGUCAGCCUUUGGAUCAUAGUCCAAGUGUGCAACUAAGAUGUAAUCUUAGAUUAAGUGAUGGUUUAUGUCAUGUGUCAUUAACUUAUAGAGUAAAUGAAUGAAGGGCUAGAUUUAAGAGAUGUAAUUUAGGAAUAUUCUUUAUUCCUAAUUUGCUACAUGUGCCAAGAGUGUGUGGGAAAUGAAAUAUCAUCAAUCUCAGUUUUGUUUCUUAUUCAAGCUUGAUCUCUCUCUCUCUAAAAUUCUCACUUCCUCUCUCUUAAAACUCUGAAUCUCCAGGAUUCAUAGCUUGUUGAUUGAAAGAAGCUUACAUACAAGAUCAUAGUCUGUAUGCUAACAAUAAUAUCAUACAUCAUUUUACAAAUUUGUUGCAAUGUUAGAUCUUUUUAGUUUUUCUGUUAAUUGUUGACGUGAUUUCAGACGUACUCUCUAGUCCAACUGGAUUAAAAAAUUAAUUAACUAUUAAAUUUUAUUCUUAUAUAAAAAGUGGGACCCACCCUACAAACCCACGCCUUCACUCUUCUUCCCCAACCUCACCACCUGCCGCUCCCUCCACCUUAACUUCCUCCGCCACUCAUUCGAAUUCCCCCUCUCUCCAUUGCUCUCCUCCCCUUCUACCUCCACCCAAGUCUUUUCUCUUCAGGAAUAAGCACGGCUCCAAGAAGGGAAGGGUUGGACCCGUUGCCGCCGGCGAGAAGGGAAUACCGCAUCGCUCGUGGAUCGUAAUCGGAUCACGAAGGGAUACAGAUGGCAGCGUCCAAGCCUUGUUAAUAGCCUCGACCUGCUAGAGCAUGUAGGAUUUGAAAUUGAAGGUGAGUGUCGGGGACUCUUCUUCGAAAUCCUCUGUGAACGUUUCUUGCUUGGUGAGGACUGCGGAGAUGGCGAAAGAGGAGGCGGGUCGACGACGGUGUGGGGCGGUGGAGGGGAAAUGGAUAUGGUGGUUUUGAGCGGGUGGAGGAGGUUGAAGGGUUGGGAGGAUCUAGAUCUGCUUGCUUGAUUCAACGUUGAGAAGGUCUUGAAUUGGACCCAUGAGCUCAGAUUUUCGCAACUCACCUUUUUUCUUUGAACUCUCAAAAUUCUAUUUAAUUUGCUCAAAGAUUGGGUGCCCGGAGAUGGGCGAUGUCGGUGUCGUCGGUGGACCGGGGAAGAAGAGUGAGGGUGAUGAGUUUGUGGGAGUGGGUCUCACAUCUUUUUAUAAAAAUAUUUAAAAGACUUUGUUUUUAAUUUUUUUUAAUCAAGUAGGGUUACAGGAUGGGUUCGACAUGAAACCACGUCAGCAUUUAAUAGAGAAAUUGACAGAAAAACUAACGGAGUUUGACAUUGUAACAAAUUUGUACGAUGAGGUAUAACAUUGUAAUUUUCAAAAUAUGCGGUAUGAGAUUAUGGUUCGAUUCAUAAUUAAGGUAUUUUUUGCAAUUUACACUAUUUUAUAUAUUGAAGACAUUAUGAUUUAUGUGUUUUGUGAACAUUAUUAUGGCAUGAUCAUACAUCUUUUAUUAGCUCAUCAUGUAUGUUAAACCUGUGUCUAUAGUACUGUUUGGGAUCAUGACCAACUUCACGUGUAUGUUCACACUCCACGUUAUGCUCACUUUGGAUUUAUGUAGUUCCAGCCUUUACUAGUUGCAUUUAGCUUUCAAGAUUGAAGUGGGAUGUGCCUUGCACCACCUUCACGUGUAUUUGUACUUGAGCAUAGACCCAACUCGUUCAUGUUAGAGUGUCCUCCCUUGAAUGAGCUCGUUUGUCUGCAUUUCUUAUGAGAAUAUUAUAUCAUACUUACUAUAUUGAGAUUUAUUGUGAUAUAAAUGUAUUCUUUAAAUUCGUUUUUUAUGAUAAUCAAACUUAGGGGUGUAGUCAAACUCGGAUUUGAGAAGAUUUUAAAAGACAUUAAAUAUUAGUGUAGUCAACUAAAAAAAUUUAAAGGAUUUUAGAAUCCAUGCAAAUCUAAGUGUGGUCCAUUGAGAUUUUAUUAGAGAUUUUAAAGUCCAUCCAAAUCUAAGUGUAUUAAUAAAAUUAAGAUUUUAUAGGAUUUCAAUACGUGAUGGAUUUUGUGAGAUUUGAGAGCAAGAAGUAUAUAUAAUCAAGACAAAAAAGAAUCCAACAUCACCUCUUAAGAUUUCAAAUCGUAUUCCAUCUGGGCAAUUCUUAAAUGUCUAUUAACCCCAGCCACACACACAAUGACAAACCGACGAACACCUAAAUGUGUGACGAGAGAAUCUGGCUCAGAUUUUAUCAAGCACUUUCCCUCCAUUUGCCAAUACCACCUUUCGUAAUUGGUAACAAACUGAAAGCGCUCACCUAACCUUUUUGCAGGCACUGUUUGCUGAAGGUACAUGAAGGUCGACCUUCUCUCAGCCCUAUAAAACUUCUCUCAGCCCUAUAAAACUGUAACACUUUCUCUUCCACAUCCCAUCCCUUCUGCUUUGCGCCUCCUAUCUCUCUCUGUCUUUUAGUCUCUUUAAAACUCUCGCUCUUCUGCUCUCUCAUUCUCUCUUACUUUCUUCUUCAAGAUGUCUAUGUCCGCAGAACCCCCAUCUCUUGAUGUAUUGGCUAUUGCAGCCUUCAUCGAUACUGAAUCUGAAUAUGACCUCUCUAAAUUCCCAGAAGCCGAGUUCGUGGAAAGCCAUGAGAUACAAGCCCGUGUUGACCCAAAAGUAGUAAUUAGACCUAUGGAGGGCUACAGAAUUCUCUGAGGAUUGAAAGACGGUAUAUAUAUAGCUUUACUAUUAUAUGAACUAAUUGUAGUGUGAAAUGUCUAAUAAUAAUAAUAUCAUGGGUUUGGUGUUCCUCCAAAUGUUGUCGGAAUUGCUGAUGAAACAGAUUUUGACAACGAGGCUGAUGAGGAUGAUUUUUCGAAGGUUGCUGCAAUUGCCAGCGAACUAGAACAUAUGCUAAAUAAAAAAUCGAAUGAACAAAAGGCUAGUUGUUGAUGAGGGUUGUUGGUGGCGUAGCAGUGCUCAAUUGAGAGAGAGAUGAAGUUGUGAUGGUGUGAAAGGGGACACGAAAUAGUGAGCGGAUAAAGUGGCUGUCAAAUACAGUAGGCCAAGGGAAAAUAUUUUCCUUUUUUUUAAUAAAAAUUAUAUGAAAAUCCACCAAAAUUCAUCAAAAUCUACAAGCCAAAUUCAUUCAAAUUCUUUAAAACUCAUAUGAAUUUUGUAGGAGUCUUAAAUCUUCCUAAAUCCUAUCAAAUCCAUCACUUUUAAAAAUACUUCUAAAUCAUAGUUUGACUAUACCCUUCUUAAGAACUUUCACUUACAAGUAAAGAUGAAUACAACUACGGUAACGAUAUAUAUGUAUUCUUGAAUGACUUUUUAACCAAAAUGGUCCCUGAGAUUUGCAUAACUCCUCACUUUAGUCCCUAAGAUUUCAAAUCAAUAGAAGUGGUCCCUGAGAUUGUCCAUCAUCAAUCAUUUUGGUCAUUCUGUUAAAAACUUUGUUAAGUGUCCCGGAGCUCUUGGUCGGAAGUUUGGGCAAUUUUCAAAGCUUCGUAACUCAAUCGUUUCUUAAUCAAAUUUAAUCCAUAAUAUAUCAAAAUGAAGAUAGAAAAGUGUAGAAUAAGAUUAUACCUAUUUGGAAGCCCAAUGGUUGCCGGAGAUGGUCGGAAAAUAGCCUCAAAGUUGACUGGUCCGAGUGAAAACUAGAAAACUCGCCAGAAACUGGGUAAACUUUAAACUUUCAUAAAUUCUUCAAUACUCAACGAAAUCAAGUGAUUCAAAGAUGAAAACCAUACUUCUCAACGAGAUGAAGAGAAUGAUACAUUUUUCAAUAGCUAACUCGUCAUGGUUUGGCCGAAAAAUAGCUCAAAAGUGGCUAUCUUGGUCUCAAGUUAGCAGAAUGACCAAAAUGAUGGAUGAUGGAUAAUCUCAGAGACCACUUCUAUUGAUUUGAAAUCUCAGAGACUAAAGUGAGGAGUUAUGCAAAUCGCAGGGAUCAUUUUGGCUAAAAAGCCUUCUUGAAUUAACUGGUUUAAUAUUAAUGCCUUAGUUUUCAUACUUUUACGUUUGAUUUUUAAAAUUUAUGAGUUUUACAGCGAGACGAGUUAUUAUGUUCCGAAAAAGCAAGGUUUUAGUAAACUAUCCCAAGUCCAGGUGUAGGUAGGGGUGGUUCGGUAUGGGAUCUCAUAUCGAAACUCUUGUCCCGAUUCCCAAGCUGAAAUUUUCAGGAAUCCCAAUUUCCAUACCAAUCCCAAACCAAAUUUUCGAGAAUCCCGAAAUAGUUUUGGGAUUUCGGGACAAAUCGGGAAUCCCGAAAUGGUUUUAGGCUUUUGAACUAAAAUUUGACAUAUAUGCUAUUGGGCUAAAAUUCAACCUUUUAUAUCUAUUCACACGAACAAUUUCAAUGCAAAGAUUUCUACAAGGACUUGAAACUAGAAACACAAACAAAAUAUAACAUUUGGAUUUGGUUUACAAAACAGAAAUAUUUCCCAGAACCUCAUUCAAGAUUAAAGCUUCAUCCCAAAACUCAAUUCUAAAAUGAUUAUCCCAACAAUUUCGAUAUACAAAUUUCGCACCAAAGUUGGAAAUUAGCAAUGGAAUCAUAACAUUUAGUAAAUAACAAGUUCAUACAUAUAGAGUUGCAGCAGUGAAAAAAGUAAUUAAAGAGGGAAAAAAAUUAACCUUUCUCCUUGUAUUUGCUGUAAAGCUCAGUCUAUUGGGUAUAAUUCGUAUCAGUAAACCCACAGAAGAACAAAAAUACAAGAAUUAAUCAAUUGAAAUUAAACCAGAAAAUAAAAACAAAAGAAAAAGAAAAGGAAAAAGGGAAGAAGAAGAAGAACCAUUUGGAAGCAACAUUGACAACGAGGACAACCUUCCCUUUGUAAACGCUGAGUGACAAAGUGACAGAGUAAGUAGUUAGUUUCUGUUCUUCAAUGGAUUUGAUAAGAUUCAACGGUUGAGAUUAAAUCUCACCGAAUCCGACGGUUAUUAAAAUUCUAAAUAUAUAUUUAAAAAUUAAAUAAUAUAUAUAUAUAUUUUUUAUUCGGUUUGGGAUUACCAAAAUCCUGAAAACUUGAUACCAAUUCCCGUAACGAAAUUUCUGGAUCCGUUCGGUAUUGGGUACCGAAAUUUUCAGGAUUUUCGGUUUGGGAUUUUUUCGGUUCGGUUUCGGGAAAUUUUGGUAUUGUUUUCCAGCCCUAGGUGUAGGGGCAAAAGCCAUACCAGUUUUGUCACUUUCUCAUCCACCAUAAAACACUCACCGGCUACCCCAACAGCUUCCUCUCUGUCUCUUCCCCUGAUGUCAAACUGUACGGUGGACCGCUGCACAGUUAAGACUAGCGAUGGAGUCAAGCUCAGCGCAAAGCUCUUCAAACCCAGAGAAGAAGAAGAGAUCAAGAAGGGCAGCCCUGUGGUGGUUCUGGUGAUACUCCGUCCUCGGCGGCUGCCAAGGCCUGUUGAGAGGAAUAGCAGCUGGGUUGGCAGACAGAGGCUAUAAAGCUUUGACCUUUGACAUGAGAGGGGUUGGGAGGUCAACAGAAAGGGCCUCUCUCAGUGGGUUUGCAGAGAUUAAGGAUGUGAUUACUGUGUGCAAAUGGGUUUCUGAGAAUCAAUCAGCUGACAGGAUUUUGUUGGUGGGUUCUUCUGCAGGUAUAGUAUUUUUGAAUUUUUAUGCUCUUUUAGAAUAUGUUUCUGCAAUUUUUAUUGGAUUAAGCAUGUUGGUUAUAAAUUAAAGGGGGUGUUUUUAUGUUGGUAGUUGAUCGAUUUCUUGUUUAAUCCGUUUAAGUGGAUGAUUUUUUGGAUCUGUGGAUUGUGUAUUAGCUUGUGGUGGUUUAAAGAUUGCUUCUUUGAUUGGUUUGGUGAAUGGUUUUGUUGAUGUGUAAUUUGGAUAUUAGUUUGCGAAGUUAUCUGAGUGUUAUGUAGAUAACAACUAAUUACUUUCUGAAGCGUCGUCGAAAAAUUAAAGAAGGCUUUGGAUUUGAGGGAGAAUUGAUGAUAUGAGGCUAGGAUCUCAUUGGUAAUGUUAAUUAUCUCAUAUAAGUGUGAUGAAGUUGGGAUUUCAUUUGGUAAUGUUAUUUGGAGUAUUUCUGAAUUUUGUGUUGCUGAUCGAACUGUCCAUCGAUCAUUCAAAAGUUUGGAUUUUGAUCACAUUCAAAGUGAAUAUAAGUAUGAAGAAAAAUGUUAAGUGGAACUAUGAUAGGUUUCUCUAGCUCGACCGGAGAUUGUAAAUGUUGUAAAAGAUGAUAAAUGAUGAGAAACCUAAGUUUCUAGUAAUUGUGAAGGACUUGAGCUAUGAUUUGAUAAAAUCUAGCAUCGUUGUAAUUUCGAACAGCCUCUCACUGCUGCUCCUUAACUUCUUGUUCUGAAUUGCGAUUUUUCUUCUCUUGUCAGAUUGGAGUCAAUGGUUUACUUAAGUCAUGAUCAAGGUAAAUUAAUGGAGCAUUUGUUUAUCUUUUUAGCUGGGUAAGCUGCUUUGUAAUAUGUUACAGUUACACUAAUGCAGAAUAGGAAAAACGGCAGUACGUGUUGAAAAUUGUCUUACAUUGAUGGGAGGGGACUUUGCAUGGGCUUAUAAGUAAGUUGGACUACUCUCCAUAUUGCCAAUUGGUUUUAUGGAGGGACCUCAACUUCUUCGUGGUAUCAGACCCGAUUGUCCUAACUGUGAAGUCAAACGGUCACAUGCACUCCACAUCAUUCUAUUAUGUUGUCCACGUGUUAAGCUUGAAAAUUCAUCACUCAUGAGGGGCGCGUGAGAAUAAGUUCCACAUUGAUAGAAAGAGAGACAUGGUUUAACCUCAACUUCUUCAGUAUCUCGAGACAUCAUCAAAUUGUAAAUCAAGACAUUUGUUUGCCAAAAAAAUUAAUAGAAGAAACUGUUACGUUGGUUCAGCAACAUGUUUCUUCCACAAUGUGCCAUGCUUAACAAGAUAAUUGCAAUUUAAACUUUACUGUUUGAUGAAAAAAAUAAAAAUCGUGAACCGUUCUCUUUUGCGUUUCUCCAGAUAUCCAGAUUGUUUUCAUAUUUCCAACAGUGGCCAAUUUGCAGGAUUAAGGUGCCACUGCCACCCAUUUCCUGAAACGCCUUUUCUUGCGAAAGUUGAAGCUCUACAAUUUUCGGCUUCUGCUCUUGUUGGGAUUCGUUCAACAACUUCCGGCUUUCAGCCCAUGCAAACUAGAAGAAGAGAGAACCCAACUUACAGUUUUUUUUUUUUGGUACUUUCAGAAAAAAAAUAUGAACCCUUCUCAAUGAUUCUGCAUAUACACAGAUUUUGAAUUUUUGAUGAGUAAUCUCAAUUCAAUCAAGACCCUUUUUCUUAGUUUCAAAUUUGUUCUUAACCAACAUGAUUGCACAACUUAUGAAAAUCAAGGAGAUUUUGCCGAAUAGUUUGAUGUGUUAUGUGACCUAAACAUUUUUGUGGUGUUUUUUUUUUUUUUUUUUUUUUUUUUUGUUGAAAAUAAAAUUUUAUUAAUGAAAGGGAAUAUUACAAUUUGUGAUAGAUGGGUAAGUCCAAACAAACACAAAACACUAGAUAAACAAAGUAAGACAUGGUAGAGUAGACAGACUUAAGCAAAAUGAGAGCUACACUCGAAGACAUAAAGGGGGGCCCACACAUACGUAGGCAUGUAGGCAAGAAUAAAAAACAACAGGAAAAUACCUUAAUCUCAAGCAGCAAAAAGCAAGCCUCCACCUCCGCAGCAUCAUCCGGAAAGGAAGAGAUUGCCCCAAACUGAAAAGAGCACCCGAACCAAAACUAGAUUUGAGAGUGUUGCGCACAAUCAAUUCAUCAAGACCAACAACAUCCAUAACCACACCUGAAAUUAAGGUAAAAAAACAUACAAGAGAAGGGGAGGGCAAAAGGGAUGUGUAAAACAGCCUUGUUCCAACAUGAAUCGAUCCACACUUCGCCCAACUUUUAUGGUAAGUUGGUUCAGCAAUGGGCUGUGAGCGUUGGGUCUUGUGUCAAGAUAGAGUCCAAUAUUCCGAGAUCUAAUUGAUGAUUAUGGGUUGGAAAAAAUGAGAGGUAGCAAGGGAGAGGUAGGAAGAAGGGUGCGAUGUGCGGAUGGUUUUGCUUUGCUUUCUUUCUUAAAGAGAGAGAGAGAGAGAGCGCUGAUUGAGGUGGUAAUUAGAAGAAAAGUAAAUAUUUUUAUGGUUAAACAUGUGAUUUAUAACUUACUCUUUAAUAGUUAUUUUGCACCAGAGAAUUUCUGGUUCAAUUCGUACACAAAAAUAUUUAUUCGUCUUCUGGGCAGGGAGCUUUAACUGGAACACUAAAGAGAGAGGUGGUUUGGAAGUUGUCAGGGACCAUGAAAGAUUCACCAUUUCCUGUUUAGAAUAAGGACAAAAAUUAAACAUCACAAACCAAAUCGAAAAAGAAAACGCAAAAAGAGUCUUACCUUCUUUUAAGCCUUCUCCACAUCAGAUAAAGCUUGAAUUGAACAUUGUCCAGGAAUUGGAAAUAUACAUGUCUCCACGUCCUCUUGAGAAGCAAAGGGCAACAAAAUCCCAAGAACCCUACAACGAAACCAAGCGCGACGGGUAACCCAACACAUAGACUUUGAUCCUCAUCGUCGUCCAAAUCCUGGUCGUUCUCAUUCUCAUCUGCAUCAUUGCCAUUACUUGACAAGCACUGGUUUGGAAGUGGGGUGCCGCAAAGUUUUGGAUUCCCUUCGAAAGCAGAGGCAUCGAAACCUUGGAGCUGAGUGCCGGCUGGUAUUCGUCCUUCAAGAUUAUUGUACGCAACAGUAAACGUAGACAAGAAAUGGAGACUUGAUAGUGAUGAUGGGAUUUCACCUGACAGACGGUUGUUGUUGAGUUUUAAUCUCUCCAACUCUGUGAGGUUGGAUAUUUGGUCUGGAAUGUUGCCGGAGAAGUUGUUGAUGCUUAGAUCCAAUUGUUGAAGAUAUCGCAAUUGGCCAAUCUCAAAGGGUAUGCUGCCACUUAAACUGUUGUUCCUGAGGGAGAUUACUCUUGGCAUGUUGGCAACAUAUUUGUACUGUAAAUUAUUACCGGGUUUGAAGUAGACGGACAAUUCAAGAGAACAAUGGCCCGUUUGAUUCGCAGGCUUUUGCAAUACUAACGCUUGUAGUCCGCAAAGCUCCCUUGGAAAUUCACCCGAAAUCAAGUUGUCAUUCAACAACAAAAAGAAAAGACUCGGAAGAGUCCCCAACCAACCAGGUAUUGUGCCAGUGAGUCUGUUAGACGACAAAUCUAGGACUUCCAGUUUCCUGAACUUUGAAAUCCAUGCAGGUAUUUGACCUGUCAUAUGGCAGCUAUAUAAACUGAAAACACACAGAUUUUGUAACCUGAAAUCGACAGUUAUAUCUCCAUCUGGCAUUUCUUCACCUCGAAAAUUUUCUGAAAGAAGGAGCACCCUGAGACUUUUGAAACGCAUAAAUAUCUUCAUUGCCCCGUGACAUUGGCGAGUCUGUUAUGAAAAAACGAGAGGAAGGUCAAGUUUUUCAAUUGAAGAAUCUCAGGUUGGAUUUGUCCCUCGAAAUCAUUUGCACCCAGUCGAAGUGCUUUGAGGGACUUGCAUGAGUAAAUGCUUAUUGGCAAGACACCAGUGAGUGCAUUAUUUAUAAAAUCUAGCUUACUAAGAUGAGUAAGUUUAGAGAAAUCGAGCCCAGAGAUAUUCCCACUAAAACGGUUGAAUCCCAGAUUUAUUUCAACAAGGUUUGUGCAAUUCAUCAAAGAUGGGGGCAGAGGACCUUCUAGAUUGUUGUAAUGAAGGUGCAUGAGCUUUAAUUUGGAGAACUUCCCAACAUUCUCACCGAUGGGUCCGAAAAGGCUAUUAGUAGAUAAUGAAAUUUCUUGAAGGGCCUGAGCAUUGUAGAUAUCAGCAGGAAGGGACCCUGAGAGAGUGUUUUCGCGAGCACGAAAGACCUCCAAUUCGGAACAGUUUCCUAGUCCUAGAGGAAUUGAGCCACUGAAAUUAUUGUGGGAGAAAUCCAAGACUUUAAGCGAAAAGGAAAGAAGACAGAUAGAGGAUGGUAUUUGGCCUGUAAAAUGAUUAUUGCUGACAUUAAAACUGCUCAAAUUCCAGGCAUGCUGGAGGAAUGAAGAUGGAAUUGUUCCGUUAAACUGAUUGCUGGAUAAAUCCACCAUUUGGAUAUUACUUGAUGAUAGAGAUGAUGGUAGUUUUCCGGAUAAAUGGUUUUCGCUCAAAUCAAGGAUCUGAAGGCGAGUCAAGGACAAAAAAAAUUGAGCCUCAAGAGGACCGGAAAGCAUAUUGUGGGAGAGGUUGAGAUGCGAAAGAUGUGUGAGGUUUCCAAGAAAGCGAGACAUGCAACCUUUGAUACCUUUGGAGGGCAACAACAAAUGAGUUACCCUACCAAACAUAUCGCAAGUGAUGCCCUCCCAUCGGCAACAAUCGUUGGAAGACCAGUUUAAACUAGAAGUACCAAUAUCAAAUGAAGAACGAAGAGAGUGUUGAUCAAUUUUUUGGCAUGCGGGGGUUGUAGCAAAGAAACUUGAGAUGAAAAAUAUGAAGAGGAGGCCAUACGAAAUUUGAAGUGCCAUGUCUGUAUAUUUGAUUGCUCACAAGUUUGUUAUAUAUAACACACUGAUUUGUUUAGAAUUAAAGGGCUAGAAUCAACAUCGAAACAUGAAUCACGCUUUUUGGCAGAUGCAUGCAUGUGAAGAAUAUUAAGCACAUGAGUUGUACUAUGUACUUGUAUUAUUGUAUAUGAUUCAUGUUGAGAGCUGAUAGAUCCACCCCAUAAUCCUAUUUCUUCACUCACCUUAUAUUUUCAUCCCGUAUAAAGAAAUUAAAAAAUAAACACACUAUUUUCUCACCCAUUAAUAUUCCUAAAAUGUCCUUGCAUUAAUUUAACUUUUUACUAAAAAAUAAAAUAAAUAAAAACUGAGAAUAAGAAAGCCACCCUCCCACCCGAGCCUGACACCACCAAACCCAACUCGACGACAACCUCUUUCACUGCCAGCCGACCUUUUCUCUCUAUGGAAAUUUGGAGGAGAAAACAUUAACUAGCAACAACAUCCUCGAUGGAAUUGUAAUUGUUCACAGACCGACAAUGACGAUUUCAGUUGAAUUGAGUUUGAUUGAGAUGGAGAAAGAAAAAUGAUUAGGGUUGCAGAAAAAAGAGGAUGGCUGCAGUAAGAAGUCAAUUUGGUUUGGGAGUGGCUCUGGCUUGUGGUUUUGGGGGUGGGGGGAAGGGGUUGCUGGGAUAUUCCCUUUUCAUCUAAUUUUCAGUUUUGUUUGCUUCCAAUUUUAACAUUGAUUGGAUGCAUGGCUCGAGCUUGUAAUAUUCUUCUCGGAUGGGAUUGUUCAUGGCUUCUCAUAUUCUUCUCCGAUAGGAUUGUUCAUGGCUUCUCAUAUUCUUCUUCAGAAAUAAAACAUUGUUCUUUCACUUUUAUUUUUAUUUUUUUUAGCUAAAAAAACAAAUUAGGGUUCAUUUUUAUUAGGGUUUUAAAAGUCAUUUCACAAAUGGUCAAAUAUGACAUUAAAUUUAUUAUUAAAAAGUGGGUGUGAAAAGAGAGUUGAGGGGUGGGUAUAACACCACUCUUCAUGUUGCCUAGCUUAUUUGCCUACCGGCCGUUGCUAGUGAAAAACGAUUUUAGCCUUUAAGUUCCCACACUAAAUCUAAUUAGUUCCGAUGUGGUACUAGUCAUCACAUCCUCUUUGUCGGUCGUGUUGUAAUGCUGAGUUCUUUCAUGGUCAAUCACUCUCCGCAUUGCCAGUUGAUUUUGGAAUUGGAACCUCAUAUUUCUUCAGUCAUGAGGAGCUACACGACUAAGGAGUAACAUCAUGUUGCUUGGGCUUCAGAAUUGUCAACAAUACCAAGUUUUCCACAGCCACUUUGGACUAUGACUCAAAAGCACUUUCAUAAUUCACACUUGGAACAAAACGUGUUCUGAUACAUUCAUCCCCAAUUUAAAUUAUAUUUUCACUAAGUUUGAGUAUAUCUUGCUUUUAAAUUGGUUUUGGGGUCUUAAAUGGUGUGCCCAAGAAACCCACCCCCUGUUUUGUCCUCCGGUUCCUUUCCCCUUUUCUUUCUUUUUUUGAUUUUUAUAACUCUCUCUUCUCUUUCUCUCCCUCUUCUUCUUCUCUCCCUUAUCUUUCUCUCGUGCCCUCUCCCUCUACAACUCUUCAUCCCCUCUCUGAAAAUCACACCCAGAUACCAUCCCAGCCACCAAACACUAGACCUUGGACCUCGAAACCACAAGCAAAACUAGGAACUCCACCGUGACAGUCACGGUCUCCCUAGAUGAAACCGACGGUUUUCGAGCCAACUUCCGGCCAAACUAUGGUGAUUUGGCCGGCGUGCAAGGUAUCAAUCUCUUUGUCUCGCUGAGUACUAUAACUUUCCUUUUUGUUUCACCCAAUUUCGUUAAGUAUUGAAGAAGUUAUACUCAUUUGAAUCUUACCCAGUUUCCGGCGACCGUCGAGUCUUUCGACGCAAUUUCUUGCCAAACCACAGAGAGUUAGACGUCGUGCGAGGUACCAUUCUCUUCGUCUCUUCGAGAAUUACAACUUUUGUUCUUGUUUCACUUGAUUUCGUUGAGUUUUGGCAAAGUUAUGGCCGUUUAAAGGUUGUGCAGUUUCCAUCCGAUUUCUGGCUUUCUCUUCCAUUGGGUCCAGCGACCCACCAAACCCAAGGCCCUUGGGCCUUCCCUGCCGAGCCCAACCCUUUUGGUUGUGAGGCCUUUGGGCCGUGAGUGUUGUGUGUGUGUGUUGCGUGAGUGUGUUGUGUGUGUAUGUGCUGUGUGAGUGUGUGUUGUGUGUAUGUGUGUAUGUGUGUAUACGUGUACCUACAACUUUUGUUCUUGUUUCACUUGAUUUCGUUGAGUUUUGGCAAAGUUAUGGCCAUUUAAAGGUUGUGCAGUUUCCAACCGAUUUCUGGCUUUCUCUUCCAUUGGGUCCGGCGACCCACCAAACCCAAGGCCCUUGGGCCUUCCCUGCCGAGCCCAACCCUUUUGGUUGUGAGGCCUUUGGGCCGUGAGUGUUGUGUGUGUGUGAUGCGUGAGUGUGUUGUGUGUGUAUGUGCUGUGUGUAUAUGUGCUGUGUGUGUAUGUGAUGUGUGUGUGUGUGUUGUGUGAGUGUGUGUUGUGUGUAUGUGUGUAUACGUGUACCGUGUGGGUGUGUGUAUGAGUGUGUGUGGUGCACGUGUGUGUUGUGUAUUUGUGUGUGUGUGUGUGUGUGUGAGUGUGUGGUGCACGUGAGUGUGGUGUACGUGUGUGUGUGGGUUUGGGCCUAAGCCCAAACCACCCUUUUUCACCCUAACCCUUUUUAACCAAGAACCUUCAGACCCUAAACCCAAAACCCCUUCUUAGCGUAAUUCGACGUCACCUCUUUAUAGUAUAGAUGAUAGAUGACUUUAUACUAUGAAGUUGUUUUUCAAUAUAUAUAUAUAUAUAUAUAUAUAUAUAUAUAUAUAUAUGUUCAAUGGUUUUGUACUUACCUAGUGGUCCUUUCUACUAUGGGACGUACGGAUAGAUUCCGGUCCGUCCCGGGCGACGGUUUGGUGCUGGCAUAGGGCUUGGAAGGUGUUUCCGCUGGCAUUUAAGACGGGGGGCGGGGAGCCGGCAAGGGGCCUGAAGUCUAUUUUCCUCUGACUGGCAUGGGGUUAGGGGUUAUCAGACAAUUCACUAGUGAUUAUUAUAUAUACAAGUUAUGAUUUGAGACAUUGCACGACAUGCUAGGUUUCGGAAAACCUAUGUUUAUCAUUAUAUAUAUGUUUUCAUAAAACCUAGGGGUUAGUACGUUGAUAACUGUUUUAUUAUAUGUAUAUCAAAUUAGUCCAUUCAUGUUUGUUUUGCGCCCCCUUCAGGACUUAGAAUCGAGGCAUACAAUCCCAACAUCCAGGCACUUCUGCAUCGGCAUCUUCGAGUCCUCUCGGUGUAGGACCCACUCCUUAUUAUUUCCUUUAGUGUUCUAGUUAGUUGUAUGCUCUGAACACGUUCCUGAAAUGCAUAUUCAUUAGUCUUUUAUACUUAUAAGUCUUAUUUACUCCUUAUUCUCAGCAAUUGCAUUAAAUAAAUGACUUUCGUCACCCUUAGGUGUCGGUCAGCACGUGCUUAUCCUAGUAUUUGGGGAAUAUCGGGAUCGGAACGUGUCAUGUUCUGCACUGAUUUUUACAAUUUUAAAUGAAACAAAUUAAUUAAUUGAAUUAAAUUAUUGCUUUGUCCAUUUGCCUAAAAUUUAAGUCCUCUUUAGCUUGUCAAUUAAACAAGAAAUUAAGCCCUCGAACAAGAAAAUAGAAAAGAAGAAAUAAUUGUGGUGGGCCACAUUUAGGACAAGUUCCCAAACUUCUUUGUGAGCAUGUUGAGAGUUUUGUGAUGGUUGGAUUUCAAAAAAUUGAGGGUGGAUUAUUUAUAUUAAUCAUUUGUAUUAAUAAUGAUUAAUAUCGUGAUUUCAUAUAGGAGAGACUUAUUUUGAGGCUAGACACGGCAAGAUAAUUACGAUUCAAGAACGUAUUAGUGAGUGGGUUUUUAGGUUCAACCUAUACACGAGAUAUAUGAUUUUCGAAUGGGUUUUUAUGAAAUAUCAUGUUAUCAUGACAAUGUUUUACUCAACGAAUGCAAAUAUUUUAGGGGCAUUUAGAUUUUAGGGCUUCAAUAAGAUUGUUUUUAUAUUUUAAUCUAAAUAGUUUUCAAAAUCUAAUAUAAGUCCCUAUUUUUAAAACUUACCAUAUUUAAGUAGUUAUAGCACAUUUAUUAUUUAACUUACCAUUUGAAAUUCUUUACCCAUCCAUAAUUAAUGUUUUUAUUUAUUUAUUUUGUGGUCUAAUCAUAUUAAUAGAUAAAAAUUUAUUCAAAAUUCAAAUUCUUAUUAUUAAAAAAAAAUCAACAACAAAACAAAAACAAUUAUACAUAACCUUCAGUACCUUAUUUUAUUCAUAGGUACGAAAGUAUCGGUAUGAAUGUAUCGGUACAUAACUUUAGGUAUCUUAUUUUACUCAUAGAUACAGAAGUAUCGGUUUGUAAGUUUCGGUACGAAUGUAUCGGGACAAAUAUGUCGGUUCAAAUGUAUCUGUGAACACGGAAAAUUCCUGAAACGAAAGAGACAAGAACAACGUGCACAAACAAAUAUUAAGUAUUUGAUGAUUUUGGGUUACAAUCUCUCUCUAUUUUGAUCCUCUGAUUCGAUCUCCGUAAGGUAUUGAUUUGUGGAUGUUUCCUUGAUCCAAGGGCCGUCGAGGCUUGAUCUUGGAUGAACUAUUGGAAGUUUCUUCAAGGGGCCGUGGGCUUGAUCUUUGAAGGUGGAUUUGAGCGGAUCUUCAAAGGGGCUUUUGGGCUUGAUCUUUGAAGAACAGUGACGAACGGAUCUCCAAGGGCUUUUGGGCUUGAUCUUGAAGAACAGUGAUGAACGGAUCUUCAAGGGCUUUUGGGCUUGAUCUUGAAGAACGGUUGGAUGUGUGGAUUUGUCGACGUUGUUGAUCCAAAGGGCCGUUGGGGCUUGAUCUUGGAUGAACGGAUGAUGAACGAUGGUGCUUUCUUUCAAGGGCCGUCGGGGCUUGAUCUUGAAUUGGUAGAUGAUUGUUGAUCCAAGGGGCCGUUGGGGCUUGAUCUUGGAAGAACGAUGAACGAAGAACGAGGAACACUUUCUUCAAGGGCCGUCGGGGCUUGAUCUUGAAUUGGUGGAUGAUUGUUGAUCCAAAGGGCCGUUGGGGCUUGAUCUUGGAAGAACGAUGAACGAAGAACACUUUCUUCAAGGGCCGUCGGGGCUUGAUCUUGGAAGAACGAUGAACGAAGAACGAAGAAGGCUUUCUUGAUUCUUCGGGAACCUGGAUGCUUGAGAGCUUCGGAGUUUCAGAGCUUCAGAGCUUCAAGGUGUAAUAUGAAUUCCCCCUCAAAAUGAAUGAAAUGGGCUUGUAUUUAUAGAAUUUUCCAAUGCCUAAUUUUGAAUAUAAUAUCCCAGAUGAAAUAAGUCGUUUCUGCCAGGUGUUGACACGUGUCCUAUUUGAUGACUUUUCCAACUCAUUUCAAUUUUCGUUGAGUCACACGCUACGUGUAAAAUUUAUGUAAUACAUGAGCGUUGACACUUUGAUUUAUCAGUCAACAUUUAUUUACAAAAUUUCGAUGUCUACAAAUGCCCCCACUUCAAGGCACGUCGUAUACAUGUGCUUGUCACGUGUAGGAGAUGCGUUUUGAAGUCCCUUACUGUAGAUGUCGAUCCAAGGGCCGUCGAGGCUUGAUCUUGAAUUGGGCUGGAGAUUUCUUCAAGGGCCGUUGAGGCUUGAUCUUGAAUUGGGCUUGAGAUUUCUGGAUUCCUCCAAUUGUUGAUUUUCCACAGCUUAUUCUUGAACUAGGUUUUGAUUCAAGGGUGGUAGACACUUAAUCUUGAAUCGGACUUGUGAUUUCUUCCAGGGCCGUCGAGGCUUGAUCUUUGAAGGUUUGGCUGGAAGCUUCUUCAAGGGCCGUUGAGGCUUGAUUCUUGAAGGCUGACUCGAACACAUGGCAAGCAGGCCCGAGGUGAAGGUGACGACUUGUUGCUUUGUUCAAUCUUUCUAAUUCACACCUGAGCAGUUUGGUCAACGGUAUGAUCUUCGAGAUUGAUGGGCUCCUCUUCCAAUUGGUGACUUGGUCUUUAAGGAUUUGAUUCAAGGGUGGUGAAUCGGCACGUGCAGCCCACAACGCCUAGUAAGUCGACCCAAGAAUUUGAGGGUCAAAACGAGUUCACCGUCCUCAGGCAGAUGCGGCAUCUUCUCGAGUUCUUCAUCUCAGACUCUUUCUGCUGAGUUAACUGUGCAUGCUGCAUUCUUCUCUGCUUGUUUCUUUAGGCAGAUGUGGCAGCUUCUCGAGUUCCUCAAUUCGGACUCCUUCUGCUGAGUUGAUCGUGCAGACCGCAUUCUUCUCUGCUUGUUCCUUCUGCACCUUGUCUCCACAUGCUGCAAGGUAUCAUUUUCACUUGCCUUAUCUGUCCUCCAAGGCAGAUGUGGCAGCUUCUUUGAAAGUACAGCAGCAGUGGAAGGCGAGUACUCGAGAGCAGUGCUAGGUAGGCAAUCAGGGAAGGGUUCCAAGCGGUCGAUUCCUUACCCGAGUUUGAGUGGAAGUUCCGGCAUAUUGUUUUCUUUAUCCUUGUCUUUGUAGGUAAGAACAAAGAUAAAGGAAAGGACAGGGAGAACACAUGAUAUGAGAUACUCUUGCCUUCUACCCUGGUGAUAUGAGAUACUUUUGCUUUGGAGUCAUUGGCUUGCAGAGGUACCCCAAAGAAUAAGGAACACUGAAUGACUCGAGAGGUUUCGUUGGGAAAGCAUUUUUUGGAGAUGAAGAAAGGCUCUGUAUGUCUGCCUUGCUAUGGAAGGUGAAGGUGGACAGUUAUAGGAGGUCCCUUAAUACCUGUAGAGGUAUUAUUCUUUCACUCGUGUCGGCAACUAAGGCGUGAUUGAACAGUAAACUUCACGUGCUUUCUCCUUCACCGAAAAUCUUCGACAAAUUGCCCGUGAUUUGCGCAAAGUUGAGUGUGCAUAUGACAGGUGAUGACGCGGCUGAAAAAGACUGGCGCCUCUUCGAUAUCUGGGAUCGGCGCUUCGACAAAUUACCCGUGAUUUCCGCAAAGCUGAGUUUGCGCGUGACGGGUGCUGACAAGGCUGAAAAAGACUGGCGCCUCUUCGAUAUCUGGGAUUGGCUUUAACAAAUUACCCGUGAUUUCCGCAAAGCUGAGUUUGCAUGUGACGGGUGCUAACGCGUCUGGAAAAGCAAGAUGCUUCUCCGAUUUCUGAGCUUGCCUCUUCGAUUUUUGAAUCGGCAUUUUCGAACUCUGAGCUCACCUCUUCGAUCUCUGAAAUGCCGUCGAGUGUUGAUUUUAUAGAGGCACGCAGUUCGUUUCAAAGCACACUUCGCUUGUGAAAACUCCCCUCUUGUACUUCUAAGAUCUUGAUUUGUCUGAUCUCUUCUUCCUUCAACACUUUGAAAAUGUCUGGACCCUCCGAUCGUCGUUUUGACUUGAAUCUUGGUGAAGAGGCAGUCCCGCCUUCUCCAGACAACAUAUGGCGCCCAUCCUUCAUAUCCCCUACUGGUCCUCUUACCGUUGGGGAUUCGGUGAUGAAAAAUGAUAUGACCGCUGCGGUGGUGGCCCGGAACCUUGUCACUCCCCCAGAGAUAACAGACUACUUUCCAAACGGUCUGAUGAGUUGGCUGUUAAGGAUUCUCUGGCUCUCAGUGUGCAGUGUGCAGGUUCUGUGUCUAAUAUGGCCCAACGCCUAUUUGCUCGAACCCGUCAAGUUGAAUCAUUGGCGGCUGAAGUGAUGAGUCUCAAACAGGAGAUUAGAGGGCUCAAGCAGGAGAAUAAACAGUUGCACAAGCUUGCACACAACUAUGCCACAAACAUGAAGAGGAAAAUUGACCAGAUGCAGGAAUCUGAUGGUCAGAUUUUACUUGAUCAUCGGAGGUUUGUGGGUUUGUUCCAGCAGCAUUUACCUUCGUCUUCUGGGGCUGUACCGACUGCUGAGGCUUCAAACAGCCAACCUCCGACGCCUUCUCUUCCUGGAGCUCUGCCGAGUUGUGAGGCGCCACCUGAUCGUCCUUGAAUAUCCCCUCUUGUAAAUUUGAUUUGAUUUUUUUAUUUUUUUUUUUAUUUUAUUUUUUUUUUUUAAGGUAUGCAUAAUGCAAAUUUGUGUAAAAUUUCCAGAGAAAAAAAAAAUAAAUAAAUAAAAUGGACUUUAUUUCUCUCGAUGCAUUUUUUUUUGUUGCUAUAUACAUACAUAUAUUAUGUACAUACACACCGCAUUAUCAUAACUUCAUUUUCUUUUCUUUUCUUUUUCUUUUUUUUUUUUUUUUUUUUUUUUUUUUAAAUAAAUAUAUAUAUAUAUAUUUUUUUUUUCUUUCUUUUUCUGCACAUGGUGCCAGACGCACCAUGAAACCCCUUUUUUUUAUUUUAUUUUUUUUUAUUUUAUUUUUUAAUUCCUUCUUUCUUCUUUUUUUUUUCACGUGUAGCUGAUCCACCACUUUUUUCUCUUUUCAAAAUGGUGCUCAUGCCAUUCUCCUUUUUUCACGUGGUGCCAGCACCGUAAGAUUCCAUUCUCCUUUUUUUUUUUUUUUUUUUUUUUUGUAUAAAUUUCGGUGAUCUUCACUGCACUACCGUAGCAUGUUCACUAAUGGUUGACUUUAGCGGCGGGGAGGGCGGUGCCCUUGGUGAUGUUCAAGACGACGCCGAGUUGAGCACUGCUUUUGAAGGUCUCACAGAGGCAGGAAGCGUCGGCUUUGAGCACAGUCUUGAGGCCACUGCAGCAAGUCUUUGCCAGCUUCGUGUCCGUGUUCCCAUUCGACACAAAUGACAAGCAGUCCGCCAUGUUCAAGAUCAGGCUCGAGCAGUCCACCGCAGGAACCGGCGCCGCGCAGUCCCCAAGUCCAAACGACAGCACCGCCAUCACCAUCACCACAGUGCUCAUCCAAACCCUCGUUGCUGCUCCCAUUUUUUUUGUUUUUUUUUUGUGGGAUUGUGAUAACUCAAGAAGGAAUGAUGGCACCAAGUAGGAAGUGGGUUGGUGAGACAACAGACUUCGCGGAGAGAUUAUUGCAGUCGUGUUCGCCAUUGCAGAUGACUCCAGGCCAGGUGCAGAUCGAAACAGACUCAUUCCAUUGGACCCGGUUCGCGUGUGGGGUGUGGGUGUGCGGACGAGUCGGUCGAGCUCGCGGAGAGCAGAGAUGUCGAGAUUGAGGCGUCGGGUGAGGAGUUUGUUUUGUUUGCUCCGUGCACAAAAGCUGCUGCAAGGGAUUCCUGCGCUUCGCCGCCUCGUCGCUGAAGUUCUCCGACGGAGGCAGGCCCAACUCGUCGUCCGAAGCUUCUAGCAGGUAUCCAAGGUCGGGAUUUGACUCGCCGGACUCUGACGUCAGGUCAACCACCAGCACCGAAGCUGGAUCGGUCUCCGACUCUUGCUCCGUAUCCGAUGCCGGACGUGGCGACGACUGACAAGAAUUUGUUGCGGCAGCUACCUCUUCCUCGAAGCUCUCAUGACGGAGUCGAGGUCCUGAGUCGUGGGAUCGGCGUCCGAGUCGUCGAGAAAAACCCAGAAGGUCUUCCCUGAGCCGCUUCACCUCGGCCGAGUCGUCCGAGUUGUCUCGGACCCGCUUCUUGUUCUUUGAGGUGUGGUCCUCCAUGUUUGAAAUAAUACCAAUCGCAAGAGAGAGAGGAGAGUUUUUUUUUUCAGAUGAAGCGUGGGGAUGUCGUGCUCUCUCUGGGAGAAACCAUGGAGAUUUGGGCAUGGUCCUUGCUGUUGCAGGCGGAAGGGAGGAAAAGACCCGUGCUUGAUGGGCUUCAAGAGCCUGACGGCGAUAUCUAAACCAUUGUUGGCCCAAAAAAACAUUGUUGUGGUGGAUUGGGGCAGCAGAGGUAUGGUGCAGGAUCUCUUUGGGCUUCGAUAAGGGCCUGGGCUGCACGGGCUUGGAUCCACGCGCUGUGGGCUGAGAAUGGAACUUAUAUAUAUAUAUAUAUAUAUUAUAUAUAUAUAUAUAUAUUUUUUUUUAUUAUAUAUUUUUUUUUUUUUUUUUGUUGAAGAAACUGUUUCAUUCAUUUUUUUUUAAAUAGUACACAUUAUGACAUAUGUAUUUACUUAUUUAACAUAACACAUUCUAACAUAUGUAUUUACUUAUUUAACAUAACACAUUCUAACAUAUGUAUUUACUUAUUUAACAUUUAUUUAUUUAUUUUACUAACACAUUAUGACAUAUGUAUUUACUUAUUUAACAUAACACAUUCUAACAUAUGUAUUUACUUAUCUAACAUAACACACACAUAUAUACAUAUAUAUAUAUAUGCCUUUCAGCGCGUCACUUUUACCGUGUGGGGUUGUGCAAGAGACUGCAGCGGGGAUUUGCUAUGUAGCACUCGAGGCAGAAUGUAAGGUGGCAAGCUUCAUGAUCGGCUAGUCGUUUGACGGCGGUCAUUGAAGUCUCUUCGUCGAUUGGAGCAUGGUGGCCAGAGUGACGAAGCUGGUGUUGACGGCCUUGCUACUUGCCCUUGCCGCUUGGAGCUUGAGGCAGAAUGUAAAGCGUCGAGCUUCAUGACUGGCUAGUCGUUUGACGGCGGUCAUUGAAGUCUCUUCGUCGAUUGGAGCAUGGUGGCCAGAGUGACGAAGCUGGUGUUGACGGCCUUGCUACUUGCCCUUGCCGCUUGGAGCUUGAGGCAGAAUGUAAAGCGUCGAGCUUCAUGACCGGCUAGUCGUUUGACGGCGGUUAUUGAAGUUUCUUCGUCAUUUGAAGCAUGGUGGCCAGAGUGACGAAGCUGGUGUUGACGGCCUUGCUACUUGCCCUUGCCCCUUGGAGCUUGAGGCAGAAUGUAAAGCGUCGAGCUUCAUGACCGGCUAGUCGUUUAACGGCGGUUAUUGAAGUUUCUUCGUCAUUUGAAGCAUGGUGGCCAGAGUGACGAAGCUGGUGUUGACGGCCUUGCUACUUGCCCUUGCCGCUUGGAGCUUGAGGCAGAAUGUAAAACGUCGAGCUUCAUGACCGGCUAGUCGUUUGACGGCGGUCAUUGAAGUUUCUUCGUCGUUUGAAGCAUGGUGGCUAGAGUGACGAAGCUGGUAUUGACGGCCUUGCUACUUGCCCUUGCCGCUUGGAGCUUGAGGCAGAAUGUAAAGCGUCGAGCUUCAUGACCGGCUAGUCGUUUGACGGCGGUUAUUGAAGUUUCUUCGUCAUUUGAAGCAUGGUGGCCAGAGUGACGAAGCUGGUGUUGACGGCCUUGCUACUUGCCCUUGCCGCUUGGAGCUUGAGGCAGAAUGUAAAACGUCAAGCUUCAUGACCGGCUAGUCGUUUGACGGCGGUCAUUGAAGUUUCUUCGUCGUUUGAAGCAUGGUGGCCAGAAUGCACUGUUGUUGCUGCUUGGAGCUCGUUCCAGUACGUCACUUUUACCGUGUGGGGUUAUGCAAAAGACUGCAGCGAGUUUAUGCUGUGUAGUGCCUUUUGUUGCAACUUUCCUCGGAGGUGCCGUCGCCGUGCACACCGACCAUGCCGCCUGCCAUCUCAUUCCUUUAAAGAAAUAAAGUAUCCGUAUUUUGGAUUUGCUCUUUAUUCUUCAAAGUGUUUGUGUUUUUAUUGAUGAUGUGACUGUACUUGAAGUUUUGAAGUUUCAAGUUGCCUACGUACCCUCGAUUGAGGAGGGAUCAAGUCAUGACGUAGUUCAAAUACAUUUUUUUUUUGUUUGCAGUUUCAGCUCGUGCAGACCAGGAGCGUUGUGCCAUGCAGUUUAGGCUCGUGCAGGCGAGGAGCUUCGUGUCCUACAGUUUAGGCUCGUGCGGACAAGGAGCUUGGGUGUUGCCUUUCAGGGGUAGUAGCGCUUCAAGAAUCUGCCGUUGAUAGGGCCGAUCUUCAAGCCGUCUUCCGCCAUGAUUAAGUAGGCGCCAUUGGUGUAGACUUCUUGUACUACGUAUGGUCCAUCCCAUUUUGACGUGAACUUGCUCUUUGUCUUGUGAGUUGUGAUGAUAGGCCUACGCAAUGAAAGGACGAGAUCUCCCAUUUGAAAAGACCGAGGGAGAACUUUCUUGUUGAAGGCUUUAGACAGUCGCGCUUGAUAACACUCCAGGUGUUGCUGGGCUUCGAGUCUUUUCUCAUCCAGCGCCUCCAGUUCUUGAAGACGCAACUUUGCAUUCUCUUCGUCAGUCAAGCCUUCUUGUAUAGCCAUCCUUAGCGAGGGGAUUUGACUUUCGAGUGGUAGAACAGCUUCUACGCCAUAUACAAGAGAAUAAGGUGUGGCUUGGGUAGGCGUUCUAUAUGUUGUCCUGUAUGCCCAUAGGGCUUCGCCUAUUCUUUCAUGCCAAUCUUUCUUUGUUCUACCGAUUACCUUCUUCAGGAGGUUGCACAAUGUCUUGUUGAAUGCUUCUGCAAGACCGUUGGCCGGAGCAUGAUACAUGGAGGAUUUGUGCUGCUUGAACUUGUAUUUCUCGCAGAGCUCGUCCAUGAGUCGGUUUGAGAACUGCUUUCCGUUGUCGGUGACAAUGUAACGAGGCACCCCAUAUCGAUGGAUGAUAUGUCCCUUGAUGAAACGGACGACAGUUUCCUUCUUGACUUCCUUUAGGGGUAUGGCCUCAGCCCACUUAGAGAAGUAAUCUGUUGCAGCCAGGAUGUAAGCCUCUCCUAUAGAUGACUUUGGCGCAAUUGGUCCUACGACGUCCAAUCCCCAUGCGUCGAACGGCCAUGAAGUAGCUGUGGGGUGUAAUGGUUCAGGCGGUUGAUGUAUGAAGUUGGCAUGAAAUUGGCAGGCUUGGCACCUUUUGGCGUAUUCUAGGCAGUCCUUUACCAUGCUUGGCCAGUAAUAACCCAUUCUCUUGAGCUGGAAAUGAAGCUUCGGCCCGGACUGGUGCGCUCCACAUAUUCCUGAGUGUGCUUCUUCCAUGGCUUGAUUGGCUUCUUCCUCGCCUAGGCAUCUCAGAAGUACCCCUUCAAACGAUCGCCGGUAGAGUGUCCCUUUGUAAUAGAGGAAGCGAUGUGCUCGUCGACGUAUUUCAGAGCGGUGUUUCGGAUCAUCUGGAAGCAUUCCGUGCUCCAAGUAGUUGAUCAGAGGUUGUCUCCAUUCUUCAACGUUGACCGAAAGUAUUGAAAUAACGUUUGUAUCACUUAAUACCAUUUCGAUGACAAGCGGGAUUACCCACCUUUGGCAGACUGGCACGUUUGUAGCUUCGUCUUCUCCUAAUGUCAUGCUCGAGGCUAGGUUGGCGAGAGCGUCUGCCAUUUGAUUCUCUUUUCUUGGCACGUGUUCUAGUGUUACGGUCUCAAACCUUUGUAGCAACUGCGUUGCCAGCCGGAAGUAUGGGACAAGGUCAUCUUUCCUCACCUCAUAUUCAGUCAGGAGUUGAUUGAUUAUGAGCUUGGAGUCGCCGUAUAUCUCGAGGGCUGCGAUUUCCAUGUUGAUUGCCAUUUGGAGCCCGAGGAUCAGUGCUUGGUACUCAGCGACAUUGUUAGAGCAUAAUUCGCUUAGCUGGAAUGAAUAAGGUAGUAUUUGCCUUUGUGGCGACAUGAAUACUACUCCUGCCCCCGCUCCGUCUGCUCGUGCAGAUCCGUCGAAGAACAUCGUCCAUGUCGGGAAUAUGUCGAUGCAGAACACCUCUUCGUCGGGCAAGUCGUCUGAGAUUUUCCAAUCGGCUGGGAUUGGAUGGUCGGCAAGGAAGUCUGCUAGCGCUUGUCCUUUGACGGCUUUAGCUGGGACGUAGAUGAUCUCGUAUUGAUUGAGAAGUAAUGCCCAUUUAGCUAGUCGCCCUGUCAAAACUGGCUUAGACAUGACGUAUUUGACCGGGUCAGCUUUAGCAACCAAGUGGAUGGUGUAAGCAUGCAUGUAAUGUCUGAGCUUCUGGAUGGCAAACAUCAAGGCCAGGCACAUUUUUUCUAUUGGGGAGUAGUUCAAUUCAGCGCCGGUAAGCGUUCGACUGAGGUAGUAGAGCGCUCCUUCUUUCUGGGCCUCAUUUUCCUGUGCCAAGAGUGCUCCAACUGAACUUUCCUGAGCAGCAAUGUACAAUAUGAGCGGUUUCCCUGGUACAGGUGCCCCCAGGACAGGCGGACUUGAUAAAUACUUCUUUAUGCUUUCAAAAGCAUUGUUGCAUGCUUUGUCCCAUACGAACGGAACAUCUUUCUUCAUGAGUCGACUGAACGGUUGACAACGCCCUGCAAGGUUGGAGAUGAAGCGUCUGAUGAAGGCUAGCCGACCUUGUAGACUUUUCAACUCGUGCAGGUUUCUUGGCUCGGGCAUGCUUUGAAUGGCCUUGAUCUUUGAUUGGUCCACUUCAAUGCCACGAUGCUUGACAAUGAAGCCAAGGAACUUUCCAGAUGUGACGCCAAAUGCACACUUUAAUGGGUUCAUCUUGAGGUUGUAUUUUCGCAACCUUUUGAACACUACUCGCAAAUCCUUCAAGUGAUUUGAUCUUUUCUUUGUCUUGACCACCACAUCGUCUACAUAGCAUUCUACAUUCUUGUGUAGCAUGUCAUUGAAGAUCUUCUGCAUUGCGCGUUGAUAUGUAGCUCCAGCAUUCUUCAGACCAAAGGGCAUCACCUUGUAGCAGUAAAUACCUUUUGGAGUGCGGAAGGCUGUUAGUUCCUCAUCUUCAAGAGCCAUGCGAAUUUGAUUGUAUCCAGAAGAGCCGUCCAUGAAUGAUAGUGCCUCAUGGCCAGUGGUUGCGUCCACCAUGAUCUCAAUGAUUGGCAAGGGGAAGUCAUCCUUUGGGCAAACAUUAUUGAGGUCUCGAAAGUCCACGCAAACACGUAUUUGUCCAGAUUUCUUAAGGACUAUGACGAUGUUGGAGAUCCACUUGGGGUAUUGCACCUCUCGAAUGAAGCCUGCUUCGAUCAACUUGUCAAUCUCGGCCUCGAUUUGUGGGAUGAGCUCGGAUCGAUAGCGUCUUUGAGUUUGCUUUACUGGUCGCGUUCCAGGCUUGACUGCAAGAUGAUGCACAGCAAUGAUAGGGUCGAGGCCGGGCAUUUCCUUGUAGGUCCAAGCAAAGACGUCCUUGAACUAUAAUAGCAGCUGGUAAUACUUCUCUAUCUCGCCUGCACUUAGUAAUGCACUCACGAAGAUAGGCUUCGGUUCCUCACUUGUGCCUAAGUUGAGUUCUUUGAGAUCGUCAACUGUGGCUUGCCCCCCAUCUUCGAGUUGUGACGGUGCUGCAAUGACAUCUUCUUCGAGGCUUUCAUCUUCUUCACCUUCUUGGAUUGUGAUGUGGAAGACGUCUUGGGCUUCUUCUUCGGUGUUAACCUCUCGAGCUAGUUGGCGUGAAGAUUGUCCAGUGUGAAUGAUGGUGCGCCUUUUCACUUUCAGCGAUCCAACUGUGUUAACCUCCAAAAUUGCGUGGCGCUUCAUUCUUGAAGGAAUGGAACUUCGAACGUCAUCCUUUUCUGCUAGGCGAUCGAUCUCUUCUACUUCUGGUGUCGUCUUUCUCAUUUUGGAAGGCUCUUUGGCUUCUCCAAGUCUUUCCAUAACUGACUGUCGUGGAGGAAAGCUAGUCGUAUUGCUUUGCUUUUUAGGUUUUGAUAACCUUUUGAAAACAGAGCCUCGAGAUACUGACGUGUUAAGCCUUUUGAAGACGGAAGUUUUGUUUUGAACGCCAAUGAGUUUAGGUGCCGAAACUCUGGGCUUUGAACGAUUCAUUCUAUCGAAUACUGAUGUCCGGGGGGCAGGUUGAGGCUCCUCUUUAUUUUGUAUAAUGCUUAUGCUGAUGUGUUGAGCGCUAGCAUUUUUUGCCUUGCUGGAGAUCUUCACCGGUGCAUUUGGUGUGAAGCCAAGCCCAGCUUUGUUGUUGCUAACCCCGUAACCAUGCUUCUCCAAUUUCUUCUGAGUUUUAGUGAGAUCACGUUCGUUGUCUUUGACGGUGUUCAAAUCAUUCUUUCCCAAAUUUGCAGAGGAGGUGAAGUUAUACCCAGCUUUCGACAUAAGUUUGUAGGCGUUUGGAUCAAAACCUUCUUCGGUCCUUUUGGUUGGGAGAAAGCUUGGUUCUACCCCCUUUGGCAGGCCUUUUAUGAAGCCCUGUGAUGGUUUUGCAACCUUGGUGUCGCCUAGCUGGGUCAGAGGGAAAACUGCAUUCGUUUUGAGCAACUUUACAUUAUCUACGUGCCGCUGUGCAUCGGCUUUGCUCGCUGCAGUUUCAAACGGGGAUUGACCAUUCUUUCUUCUCGACGUCGGGAUGUACCGGAAGACGGGUACGCUUGGUCCAUUUGAGGUCGUCCUACUUCCUCUGGUUGUUGCAGGUUUAGAAAGUUCAUCGUCGUUUUUGCUUGAAGAUGGCAUAGCUUCUUCUUCUUGCUUCUUGGGCAUAGCUUGCCACUCCUGUUUUUUAGGCGCUGCUUUGCUCAUGGAUUUAAUCUCUUUUGGAAGAGUUUCGGGCACCGUGUCUUCAUUCAUGUAGAACUUGGCGUCUGCGAAAUGUGAUUCAGCUUCGGUGAAUGGCUUGGUGUCGCCAUAGAUCACUUUCACUCGUUCUUGGUAAAAUUUUAAACAUUGGUGAAGGGUGGACGGUACCACUCCGUUCGCAUGGAUCCAAGGCCUUCCUAAGAGCAGACCGUAGGAAGUUCUUGCAUCAAUCACGUGGAACAUCACGCUUGACUUGAGUUCACCAAUGGUCAUCUCCACUCGGAUCAUGCCCAUCGCUCUUUGUCCUCCUUGGUUAAAACCUUGGAUUAGUAGACGGCUUAGGGAUAGUUCAUCCACCUUGAUGCCGAUUGCGGUCAUUGUUGACUUUGGCAUGAUAUUUAUGGCUGACCCGCCGUCCACAAGCAUGCAGCUGACUUUAUGCUCCCUUACGUACCCAGAGACGAAGAGAGGUCGGUUGUGAGGCUUGGAUCCUAGCAACAAGUCUUCGUCGGCGAAGUGGAUUGUGUCCUCGGUGGCACAGCAUGUGGCACACUCGUGUGGCAGAGGCCUCAAGCCUUCGUUCUUGCUUUCUUGCACUUCGUGGUUGUUUGGACUCGCUAAAACCGUUGCCAAUGCCCUUCGUAUCUUCUUUGGCAAUUGUAGCGCUUCCUCGAUGCUAAAGUGUAUUGGCAGACCUUCUUCAGGUGUCGGAGUAUUUUCUCCCUCAGCGACGACAAUUUUGCCCUUUGAGGGUUCUUCCAUUUCUAUUUCGACCACGUGACAUGCGGUGAUAGUACAAUGUUGGAAAAAGUCCUCCGGGAAGUACUCGUGCAAUGAGACGGGAAUGCGUGGCUUUUGCUCCGCAGGUUCCCCAGCAUAUAUUGGCUUAGCAGCUCUUAUGUUUCUCUUAGGCUUCCUAUUGCCGCGACGGCGGUGCUUUCUCCCUUGUUCCCCCUUUUGCUUUAUAGCUUGCGGUUUUGGUUUCCUCGUCCUCUUAUAGGUCACCAAUGUCCAUCCUUUGUCAUCGUCAGUAGGUGCGUCCUGGUUGCUUGCCCCUAGUGACGGUGGUGCAGAAUGUGCAGUGUGGUUUGAGUAUUGCCGAGCAUGGUCAGGCAUUUCUUGAAGAAGCACGGGAUCAAAGGAUCCGAACACGACCGUAGUGGUGUGCGUCGCAGCUGUGUCUUCUAGGUCGAGCUCAAUUCGUCCUUGUUGCGCCAACUUCAUGAUGAGUUCUUUUAGGAUAAAACAUUUGCCCACAUGAUGACCCACGAUACGAUGGUACUUGCAGUAUUUGGGAUCAUUGAUGCGAUUCAUUUCUUCAGGGCGUUUGCAUUCGGGUAACUCAAUCACCUUCUUCUCCAGCAGGUCGUCCAGCAUUGCGUCCAUGUCGGAGUCCGGAAAAGGGUAUACCUUCUGCUCCAAUUCCCUCAAGGUGUUUUUGUACCUAUCUUGGGUGUGGGAAGGCUCACCUUUUUUUAUCUCCCUUGCUUUAUUGAAAGAGAUUUUGACGGGCGCGGACGAGGUCUUGAUAGGGGUGGUAUUGGUGGUAAAAGCUUCCUUGGCGGGCUUUUUCCCAUGAUUGUCUGCUCUUGAAGUGAACACCUUAUCCCUUUUGAAAUCGGUGAUUGGCUCCUUCUUUCCAUGGUGGGCGAUGCUCAACUCCAUGUCGUGGGCACGGGUGGCUAAUUCUUCAAAAGUUUGUGGUUUGAUACCUUGAAGGAUGUAUUGUAAACCCCAUUGCAUGCCCUGGAUGCACAUCUCGAUUGAAGAAAUCUCGGAGAGUCUGUCCUUACAGUCGAGGCUUAGAUUACGCCAUCGGUUGAUGUAGUCCAUGACUGGCUCGUCCUUCCACUGCUUUGUGCUUGUUAGCUCUAGCAUGCUCACAGUGCGGCGGGUGCUGUAGAAGCGAUUGAGGAAUUCCCGCUCCAAUUGCUCCCAACUGUUGAUGGACUCAGGCUCCAGAUCCGUGUACCACUCAAAGAUGUUUCCUUUCAGCGAGCGCACAAACUGCUUGGCGAGGUAGUCCUCUUCGGUUCCUGCGUUGUUGCAAGUUUCAACGAAGUGGGCAACGUGCUGUUUCGGGUUUCCCUUUCCAUCAAAUUGCAUGAACUUUGGUGGUUGAUAACCCCUUGGCAUCCUUAAGGCGUCGAUCUUUUUUGAAUACGGCUUUGAGUACAACCCGGAGGUACAUGAGCUCCCUUCGUACUGUGCCUUGAUGGUGUUGGUGAUCAUCUCUUGCAGCUGCUGGAUAGAAAGAGAUCCCAUGAGUGCCGCUGCUUGGUCUGGUUUCGGCUUCCCAUCGAUUUUCUUCACCGGGGGUUCUUCGUCUCCGCCAGCUCCUCCCUUUAGUGGAUCAUCCUCUGGGUCGGGUUUCUCGCUGUCCUGCGCCUCCAAUCGGUUGACUAAUGCCGCGAUUUGCAAGUCUUUUUCUUCCACAGUUCGAGUUAGUCUUGCGAUUGCUUCAUUCAUUUGAGCAAGCUGUUCCUCGACUUGAAGUUGCUCCAAUGCGGUCAUGACUUGCAUGGCUGAACUGCCGCUUGAAUCGUCAUCGGAGAGCAUGGAUUCGGAGUAUUCCCUUGGUCUUUCCCCCCUUGGUGCCCUUAGUGAGGCUAAGGUGAUCACAAGGCUCGCGCCUGGGGUACUCUCGUUCCCCUGGCAGAGUUGAUGCAGAGGUGAAAGAGGUGGCAGAAGUAGCUUUUGCUUUGCUUCGAGUCGUGAUACCCCAACGUGACACCACUUGCGACGAGGGCGCCUUUGUUCUUUGCGCCGGUUAUGGGAACAACUUUGAGCCUUCCUUGACGUCAUUGAAUUUUGGAAGUGUGCUUGAUAUUCCUUGAACGGAGGAAGAGAUGAGAGGUAGAGAUGUCCCACUGGGCGUGCCAAUUUAUGAACACGGAAAAUUCCUGAAACGAAAGAGACAAGAACAACGUGCACAAACAAAUAUUUGUAUUUGAUGAUUUUGGGUUACAAUCUCUCUCUAUUUUGAUCCUCUGAUUCGAUCUCCGUAAGGUAUUGAUUUGUGGAUGUUUCCUUGAUCCAAGGGCCGUCGAGGCUUGAUCUUGGAUGAACUGUUGGAAGUUUCUUCAAGGGGCCGUGGGCUUGAUCUUUGAAGGUGGAUUUGAGCGGAUCUUCAAAGGGGCUUUUGGGCUUGAUCUUUGAAGAACAGUGACGAACGGAUCUCCAAAGGCUUUUGGGCUUGAUCUUGAAGAACAGUGAUGAACGGAUCUUCAAGGGCUUUUGGGCUUGAUCUUGAAGAACGGUUGGAUGUGUGGAUUUGUCGACGUUGUUGAUCCAAAGGGCCGUUGGGGCUUGAUCUUGGAUGAACGGAUGAUGAACGAUGGUGCUUUCUUCAAGGGCCGUCGGGGCUUGAUCUUGAAUUGGUAGAUGGUUGAUCCAAGGGGCCGUUGGGGGCUUGAUCUUGGAAGAACGAUGAACGAAGAACGAGGAACACUUUCUUCAAGGGCCGUCGGGGCUUGAUCUUGAAUUGGUGGAUGAUUGUUGAUCCAAAGGGCCGUUGGGGCUUGAUCUUGGAAGAACGAUGAACGAAGAACACUUUCUUCAAGGGCCGUCGGGGCUUGAUCUUGGAAGAACGAUGAACGAAGAACGAAGAAGGCUUUCUUGAUUCUUCGGGAACCUGGAUGCUUGAGAGCUUCGGAGUUUCAGAGCUUCAGAGCUUCAAGGUGUAAUAUGAAUUCCCCCUCAAAAUGAAUGAAAUGGGCUUGUAUUUAUAGAAUUUUCCAAUGCCUAAUUUUGAAUAUAAUAUCCCAGAUGAAAUAAGUCGUUUCUGCCAGGUGUUGACACGUGUCCUAUUUGAUGACUUUUCCAACUCAUUUCAAUUUUCGUUGAGUCACACGCUACGUGCAAAAUUUAUGUAAUACAUGAGCGUUGACACUUUGAUUUAUCAGUCAACAUUUAUUUACAAAAUUUCGAUGUCUACAGUAUCAAUACGUAACUAUAGUAUCUAAACAUACAUAUAUACGUAAUAUGCAUAUACAUAUAUAUAUGGAAAUUCACGCACAAUGAAAAAGAUAUGAUAAUAUAUGACUUUUUAUGGGAACUUAAUAAAUAACAUUUUUAUUAUUUAUGGGAAUCAAUAUAUAACCUACAAACAAAAAACUAAAUAAUUAUUACAACCUAUUUAAUAUUAAAAAAAUUAAAAUUAAAUGCUAAGGAUUAGAAUUAGUUUUUAAUCUUAGACAAGGAUUAGAAUAGAAUUUUCCGAAUAUUGAAGACGUUAUUAUUUAUGUGUUUUGUGAACAUUAUUAUGGCAUGAUCAUACAUCUUUUAUUAGCUCAUCAUGUAUGUUAAACCGGUGUCUAUAGUGCUAUCUAGGAUCAUGAUCAACUUCACAUGUAUGUUCACACUGCACGUUAUGCUCACUUUGGAUUUUUUUAGUUCUAGCCUGUACUAGUUGCAUUUAUCUUUCAAGACUGAAGUGUGAUGUGCCUUGCACCACCUUCACGUGUAUUUGUACUUGAGCGUAGAUUUAUACACCCAACUUGUUCUGCUUAGAGUGUCCUCCCUUGGAUAAGCUUGUUUGUCUGCAUUUCUUAUGAGAAUAUUAUAUCAUACUUACUAUAUUUGAGAUUUAUUGUAAUAUAAAUGUAUUCUUUAAAUUUGUUUUUAACAUAAUCGAAUUUAAAAACUCUCACCUACAAGUAAAGAUGAAUAUCACAAGACAAUGAUGAUAUACAUGUAUUCUUGAAUUAACUGGUUUAAUAUUAAUGCCUUAGUUUUCAUACUUAUACGUAUGAUUUUUAAAAGUUAUGAGUUUUACAGCGAGACGGGGGUUAUUAUGUUCCGAAAAGCAAGGGGCAAAAGCCAUACCAGUUUUGUCACUUUCUCAUCCACCAAAAAACUCUCUCACCAGCUACCCCAACAACUUCCUCUCUGUCUCUUCCCCUGAUGUCAAACUGUACGGUGGAGCGCUGCACAGUUGAGACCAGCGAUGGAGUCAAGCUCAGCGCAAAGCUCUUCAAACCCAGAGAAGAAGAAGAGAUCAAGAAGGGCAGCCCUGUGGUGGUUCUGGUGCACCCAUACUCCGUCCUCGGCGGCUGCCAAGGCCUGUUGAGAGGAAUAGCAGCUGGGUUGGCAGACGGAGGCUAUAAAGCUUUGACCUUUGACAUGAGAGGGGUUGGGAGGUCAACAGGAAGGGCCUCUCUCACUGGGUUUGCAGAAAUUAAGGAUGUGAUUGCUGUGCAAAUGGGUUUCUGAGAAUCAAUCAGCUGACAGGAUUUUGUUGGUGGGUUCUUCUGCAGGUA
rnacentral:lncRNA from 1 species